UUGGGUUGUAUUCAUCUAUCACCCCCGAACAAAUUGUAUGCAUAAUCUUGUUUUAUGCUGCAUGAUACUAAGGGAUAUCAAAGAAGAUGGUUUGACUUUCUGAAACUAACAAAUGAGAAGGCAACACAGUGAAUAAUUUGAUCAAUUUGAUCCACUGAUGAGUUAACAUGCAAUGUUUCUUUGGGGCUAUAGACUGUAAAGCGUGAUCGCUAAGGUUAAGCAUCUGAGGUAAAAUAUGCAUUAUAUUGUAGCUUAGUAUCAGCAGUGGAUUGGAUACUAUGUAUUUGACAUUGAAAAGGAAACACACUGCAUUCAAGCAACUCAGUUUUUUUCUUGAACGUAUGCGAGAGCUGUGUAUCAUUUCUUUUAUAGAUGAAAAAACUGUAAAAAACAGAAGAACAAGGGAAACAAAAAACCAGAGCAUAAGACCAAUGCGAAACUUUUUUGUUUUGAAAGAAACUUGGAAGGUGCUCCAGUGUGCAACAUUUUUUUUCUCGAACACGCAGGAGAGCUGCGUAUCGUUGCAUUAAUAGGAGUCAUACAUAGACCCGAACACACACACACACACACACACACACACACACACACACACACACACACACACUGGAUAGACUUGAUCACCUAUUACAUAAAUGGCAGGACCUGACCCUAAGACCUCUUGACCUCCUAACCCACUCCUCUGGCAUUGAGCAGGGAGAGCCCCUUGGCUCCUGCCAGACUCCACAUCCAGUGUGCAACAUGAAACGAAACAUUACGAGCGACCUUCUGUAGUUCCCCCUCUUUUGGGUUUAGCACAGAAACCAGCACCAUCUGAAGUUCUGGCAAUCUUGAUUGUCGAGUGACUCAUUCCAUAGAGUGCUUUAGAAUGGGCAGCAUACCAACACAUGCUUCUGGUGGGCAACUGUUGGAUCACCAGAUGAUGGAAAAUGAAAGAGAACCUGUGUUGCUUAAUCUGGUAUAUCUCCGUGCAAGUUUGACAUUGUUACAUAUAAUUUCUACCUGCACUGAAAAAUUUGUUGUGGUACAAUAUAAAAGCUGUCAAUUAAGUAAUGUUUUUCCAAAAUAAGGAAAAAAAUCACUGUUAAAAAAAUGAUAGCAAUGCACUAGCAUUCCAUCAGCAGUUAUGCUUUAUGUUUUUUUAAUACUGAUUUUAAGCAUAUAGGAAUCUUGUGUGCUCUUAAAUUUUUAGGUAAUGUAUUUGCUGCUGAAUACUUUUUAAUAUUCUGACCACUGAGCAUUGUGGAUCGCAUUUGCUUGUCCUCAGAGACUGCAACAGAAUUUGCUAUAUCACUCAUCCAGACACUGGUUACCCAAGAUUCCAGUAGCGUCUCCGAGCUUUUUAAUGUUGUUGAUGUCUUAUCGAAGGUAUGUAUGAGUGCAUGUUUUAUAUUAUGGUCGUCUCCUAGUUGGCUUGCCAGUAAUGGUGAUGUGUGCUGUGUUCCAGCUUGCAACGAGGCCUGGGUCACCUGAUUCAUUGCAGCACUUGAUUGAAAUUGCAAGGAGUACCUUCAACAACACUGCUAAUUAUGCUGCUGCAAAGGAUGAAAAGGUUAUUCAGUCAAGAGAUAAAAAGGUGAAAUUGCAUUAUAAGUUGUUGCUAAUUUCCUAACAAUACAUGUUCUUUCCGACAUUGAUAAAUUGCUCCUUAAUGGUGGCAGGUACUAUCUGUUCGUCCUUUGAUGAAUAACGAAGAAGAUAAUGCUGAUGGCAUUGCUUUUGCUAAUGCUGCUGAUUUUCAGGACAAGGUUCAGAAACACAUUGAACUAUCUUUUUUCUUUUAUCAGGCACUAUUCGAUUUUUUGCAAGAGUUUUUUUUAUUAUUAUAGUGUUGUAACAAUAUGCUGAAUUGUAACGUGAUUCAGUGAGCCUUUUUGAUAUUUUCAAGUAUAAAAUAAACUUUGUAGUUGAGUGUAUAUUGGUAAAUUUGAAUAAACACCCCCAUAAAAUCACUUAUGGGGGUGUUUAUGCAAUUUUACCGUGUAUAUUCCUGGUACUGCUUUGUAUCCGAUAUAGUAAAUACCAUGCAUAGAUUGGUUUAUGUAUAGUUCAAAAUUAUUUUCGCAUUCAGCACUUGAGCUUUAAGCUUCCUAGAGAGCUAAUAUGGUAAUUUAUUGGUCCACAGGUUGCGGUCUUGUUUUCCGAGUGGUGUCAAAUAUGUGAUCAUCCCGCUAUGGGUGAUUCAGUAUAUAAUAAUUACAUUGUGCAGUUGCAACAGAAUGGCUUGCUGAAGGGAGAUGAUGUGACUGACCGUUUUUUCAUUAGUCUGACGGUAAUUCUCUUACUCUUGUUCUAUAAUACUACUGAUCCACUUGAUACUUGAGUUCUGAUGUUAUAAAAUUCUCCAGGAACUUGCUAUCGCACACUCUCUUGUGUCUGACCAAACCAUUGCUCCUAGUGGACUAUCUCAGCAAUCAUCCCAGCAACAGCAGAUUUCAUAUUUUUCAAUUGAUUCAUAUUCAAAACUUGUGACUUCAGUUGUCAAGGUAUGCCCAAUUCUGUUCUAUUUGUGCACUCGUAACUUCUGUAGGUUUCUGGGCAUUGUUCCUUGAUUAUAGGCGCAUGAGAUUCUGCGUAUAAUACUUCCAUUUAGGAGGUUAAAGUGUUAAACCAAGUCUACAGUGUUGGGGUCAACUCAAGUUGAUGUGCAUAUAUGUCCUGUUCACUAUUAGGGUACAAUCAGCCUUGUUAACAGCAAGCUAAACUUGGUACUUUAUUAAACUGUUCAUAUGAGCUGUAAACUUCUACCAAUAUUUAUUUACCAGUGAAAUUAUCACAUAUGAAUUCUAAUUUCAUAUGGAACUAGUGAAGUGAUAUACAGGAAAUAUUGUUAUUUGACUCGUUUUGGAUGAAAGAGUAUGCAAAGUUUCAUGGUUAAUCUUCACUGUAUUUUGAGAAAAUGGAUUGGGAACUACAUGAUCAUGAAAUCUUGCGGGGUCAUAGUCUCAUAGAAGUAUAGAACAUCCCUUCCUCUUUGUCAAUGAAUGCUUUUGGAAUAUUUGUGCAAACAUUUCCGCUCUGAAUAUUUUGCUUAACUGUCUUCCUGGAUUAUUAGGUAGUUUUAUUUGGUCACACCUUUUAAUAGCUUUAUUCAUUUAACAACUAUAAACCAUAUCAGCAUUAAACAUUAACUAGUGCUGUUGCUGAACUUAUUCAAAUAUAUAUAAACUGUUCAUUUCUGUUCAGGUGGUUUUAUUUACUAAGUAAUUGCAUAGAACAUGUUUUAAGUUGAUUUUACAGCAAAAUACUUUUCAUAAUCACUGAACAAUGGUAAAUGCAUUGUGGAAAGCAUACUUUUAUUGCUGUAUGUAAGCUGUUUGUGAUAAAUCGUACUUGCUGUUAAUAAUUUGUAUUCUUUCAGCAGUCAGUGGAUUUAGGACCAAAUAAAGGCAGUCUUCUCCACAAGGUAAGUGGUUACCUGAAUUAAGGAUGCUCUUGAUGAAUAUUGUUACUUUGUUAGGCUUAAAGGUUUCCCUUGAUUUUUGUGUGCAGAUACUUGCUGUGACAGCUAGGAUAAUUCAGAAAGAUGCUGAAGAAAAGAAAGUCUCUUUCAAUCCUCGGCCGUAUUUUCGUUUGUUUAUAAAUUGGCUAAGUGAGCUUACUACUUCUGACCUUCACCAUGACAGUGCUAAUUUUCAGGUACACAUGUAUAAUGUGGCAUGUAUAUGUUGCUAAUUUUGACAUUUAGUCUGACAUUCACAUUGCCAAAUGUUCGGACCAUUUAUCUGACGCAGUUAGUUUUUCCAGAUUUUGACUGCAUUUGCAAAUGCAUUCCAUAUUCUGCAACCCUUGAGAGUUCCUGCUUGGAGGUAUGUUAUGCCCUUUUGUUCCCACUUGCCAACUUCCUGAAUUAUUUCGCUUCCCACUUGCUUUAACGUUCAUUCCUUUUCUUUUCAUGAAACAAUAGUUGUCAUUGCAUGUUCAUUGGCACUAAAUAUUUUCCAACACCUUGUGUUGAAGUUGAAAAUUUUUCGAAUGGCAUUUAGUAUUUGAAGAUGUAUGCUUGCAUGUUACUACAUUACUAUACUGUUUUGUUGCUCAUUAACUAAUUACAUUUUCCAUGUAGUUUUGCUUGGCUUGAGUUGGUGAGCCACCGAUGCUUCAUGCCAAAGUUAUUGAUGUGUAAUUUGCAAAAAGGCUGGCCGUUUUUCCAGAGGUUGCUUGUUGAUUUGUUCAAAUUCAUGGAACCAUACUUAAGAAAUGCUGAACUGGGACAACCUGUAAGUUUGGUUCCUGCAUUUCCGGUAAUACCUCUUAGAUUAUUAUUUGCUGCAUUAUGAUUUUCUUUGUUCUUUUGUUUCUUUUGCAGAUUCUCCUUUUGUACAAAGGAACCUUAAGAGUUCUGCUUGUGCUAUUGCAUGAUUUCCCUGAAUUUCUUUGUGACUAUCACUUCAGUUUCUGUGAUGUGAUUCCCCCAAGCUGCAUUCAAAUGCGCAAUGUUAUUCUUAGUGCUUUUCCACGCAAUAUGAGACUUCCAGAUCCCUCCACUCCUAACUUAAAGGUAUUUGUCACUUGUGAAGACUUUGUGCUUCCAUUGCUGCAGUCACAUCUUAUAGAUGUUUGAUCAAUUCCAGUUGUUUCUUGUGAUAUAGAUUGAUCUGUUAGCGGAGAUUUCAAUAGCUCCUCGAAUCAUGACUGAUGUGGAUGCUGCCUUGAAGGCAAAGCAAAUGAAGGCUCAGGUUGAUGAAUACCUAAAGGUGGAUGGCAAUUAUCUGUAUUUUGUAUUUUAUGUGCUUAUCAUACUUAUGUAUCUCUCUGGUGCAAGGCUGAUAUACAUAGUGCAGCUUCAUAAUUCUCUAAUUUUAGUGGAUAUUGCUAGAAGCCUUCUUCUAGACUGAUCUGUUGAGUACAUUAGAAAGUACCCGCAAAUUCACCAAUUAUGAGUUGGGUGUUUUAACCAUUCAGCCAUAGUUUUGUUAAUUUGAAGGAUGGCGUAGCUAACAUAAUAUUCUCUUAUUGUCAUCCCUGCAGAGACCAGAAGGCUCCCUCUUUUUAACUGAUCUAAAGCAGAAGUUGUUGCUACCACAAAACGAGGCAAAUGUUGCAGGGACUCGUUACAAUGUUCCUCUAGUUAAUUCACUUGUCCUUUACGUUGGCAUGCAGGUUAGUUGUGAAGUCCUCCAUUUGAUGUCAUGCUUCUUCUGUAAUAUAUUUUUUAGGUGAUUUAAAAUGAAUUAAUUAUUUUUUGUCCUGUAUGUUUAUCCUACAAGCUUGCAAACAUAUUAAGCUUUUAUCGUAUCAUGUUUCUCUAGAUGUUACAAUCUAUGCAUGCAUUUUCAUUUUUCUGUGCUAAUUCUACAUUCGUUCUGGGUUAUAGCUAAUUUAUUAUACCUGUUGUUUGUUUUGUACCAAAUUCUCUUCUUUUGAACAAGUACAGCAAUCUACAGUUUUGCAUAUUGUAAGAAUCUAAGCUGGUGUUAAAAUUAUAAAUGCAGGCUGUGCAACAGUUGCAGCAAAACAAGGCCAAUGCUUCAGCAUCAGCCCAAAUUAACCAAAGUCCUCAGAUGGAUAUAUUCCAGAUUGAAACAGCUACUGAGAUGUUCAGAAACCUUGUAAUGACUAUGGAUACAGAAGGUCGCUACCUUAUUCUCAAUGCAAUUGCUAACCAGCUUCGCUAUCCAAAUAGCCAUACCCACUACUUUUCUUUCAUCAUUCUGUACUUGUUUGCUGAGGCAACCCAGGUAAUUAUCCUUUCUUCCUAUUUCUGUUGGAUUAUUUCAUCCUUGUAAUAUCUUUCUGACAAAGAAUGCUAUUGAAACACAGGAAAUUGUCCAGGAGCAGAUAACUAGGGUUCUUUUGGAAAGGUUAAUUGUCAACCGUCCUCAUCCUUGGGGAUUACUCAUUACUUUCAUUGAGCUGAUAAAGGUAUGCUACCUUGAUUUUUCGGAACAGAUACGCAUAUGUGAAUUUGAAAAUGAAAAAGGUGCGUCUUUUUUCAGAACCCACGCUACAGCUUCUGGACCAGAUCCUUUACACACUGUGCGCCCGAGAUAGAGAAGCUGUUCGAGUCAGUUGCAAGGUCGUGUGGAGGGAAAGGUGCUGAUGACGGAAUUGGUCUCGGAGAUGGUGGCCACUAGGGAAAUGCGUCUUGUUUGUACAUUUGUCGAUACUAUAGACUAGAAUUCUGACACAUUGGCUCUAAUUUUGCUGUUGCAGUACCUCUAUAGAUUGCUCUAAGUUAUUGUACAGAGCUAGCGCACCUCGCACUGCGAGGGCCAGUCAACCGUGAUUGCUAUGUGAACCUGCCCUCUGAAGUAAAACUUGAUGGUUUUCUCUGGAAUGCAGAUUGUGCUAAGUAAGCUGGAAGUUGAGCCUUGAUCCUUUUUUAGGGCAAGUUGAGCCAUGAUAUGAUAUGAGGUCCGUACCAUUCGCCUUGGGUUAGUAAAAGUAAUCAUGUGCAAUGUUUGCAUGCGUCGUACUCCUUGUAAAACGAAUUAUUAAUGGAGGUGUCUCCUUGUUAACGAUUGCGAUUUGUUUUUUCCCUCGAUCAUGCUCUAAAACCGUUGGAUCUACUUUCAACGGCUCAGAUCCACCUUUUUUAACCUUGUCUUUUCUCUCUACUUUCUCCCGCUCCGUCUUCCUCGCGCCGUACGACGCCUGCUCCAUCUUCGUCGCUCCGCAUGACGCGAGUCGUGCGACUACGCGUCCUAAUAAAAAAUCGUGGGACUCCGCUGCUCAACGGUAACCCCCUUUGGCCUGUACUCGCGACAUUUGAGUUUAAUGCCUAAGCCUAGAAAACAAUUGAAAACUUUUCUCAUCUAAAUUGGAGCCACUUUACCUGUCGCACCAGAUCCAUUUGUCAUGUAACUGAGGGACAUAGGGUAGAGACCCAUAGAAAUCGAUGAGUUAGAAAAUGUUUCUACUAAAAGCUAUUUCUUUUUUCACCUGUCCUUCCCUACCCACCGUAGAGCGCUCCGCGUUCCCCGACCAGCCGCGCUCCCGCUUCCCCGCGGUCAAGGCUGAGCGCGACCCAGCCCAAGUCGUCGACAGCGCCCAGCCCUGCGCACCCGCCCGCAGCGACCUCCCAUUUCCCCGCCCGCCUCGCUGCCCCGGGCGAUACGCCCCGCUGCCAGCCGCGCCGUCCCGUGUCGCCUCGCCGUGUCCCGUGUCGCGUGCCCAAUCUUCUGAUCGCCGACAGCGGAGGCGGAGACAGGCAGCGCUCGCCCGCGCCUUCCUCUCGUCUCACACAUGUGCUGUCGCCGUCCGGCCAAAUCCGCCCGCACCUCGAUAUAUACCCAAAGGCCCGUCCGUGGUCCCUGGCCCCCGAAUAUGCCCCUGCCGGCCAGGGGUGGCCUACUUCGGACCUGGUUUGGUUAACUGACUUAAAUUUAAGCAUCCAUCACAUCGAAUGUUUAAAUACUAAUUAGAAGUAUUAAAACGUAGAUUAUUUAUAAAAUCGAUUACAUAAGUGGAGACUAAACGGCGAGACGAAUCUAUUAAGCCUAAUUAGUCCAUGAUUUGACAAUGUGUUGCUACAGUAAACAUUUGCUAAUGAUGGAUUAAUUAGGCUUAAUAGAUUCGUCUCGCCGUUUAGCCUCCACUUAUGUAAUGAGUUUUGUAAGUAGUCUACGUUUAAUACUCCUAAUUAAUAUCUAAACAUUCAAUGUGACACGUGCUAAAAAUAAGCAAAAGUAACCAAACGAACCCUACGACUCUCCAUCUCCAGGCCAGGCGCGACGUGCUGCGGUUGCCGAGGCAUCUCCAACCCCAUGGCGCUAGGCACGUCUUCAACGCCCCCCCGAUAGUGCUGCCUCAACAGAGCUGCGUGUGUUCAGAUGGCUCCUAAGUAGAAGUGUAAACCACUUCAUAUAUCUACAUGUAUUUUUCUUUGCUAUCAUGGUUUUACCAGGUCCAUUCUUAUUUGUUUGUUUAUUAGUAUACCUUUACUUUUUAGUACAAUUGAUCCGGACAUGUCAUUUUGUUUCAUUCAAGCUUUAUGUAGGAAUUUAAUAUGACCUGAACACAAUGCAUGUGAUUCAGGAUUUUGGGAAAGUAUUUGUAAAGCCUUAUUCCAGUGGCUGCCAUUUUCAUUAAACAAAUUGCAGUAAAGUUUAUAUUAGGAUAACAUAAAACAUAUCUCAUAUGUGGUGAUACAGUCUAACACUUUUAAGCAUCAGCCUGCUUAUUUUUUUUUUAGAUUAUGGAUAACAUCCACACCUAAAUAUAUAUAGCCAAAAAAUUAUCAGAGUUCUUAGAUUUCAAUUCUCAAAACUGAGAAACCCAACAAACAAUAGAAAAAACACAAGACUAAGAAAGAAAGCUAGAAAAACUAAGCUUCUAACUUCUUCUACGUUCUUGCUUCAACCUUGUUUUGUGCUCAUGCAGCCACAAAUCAUCACAUCACUCAUCUACUUAGAAACUCUUGAUGUCAGAAAUGCUUCAACCUUUUUUUGUGCUCAUGCAGCAACAAAUCAUCACAUCACUCGUCUACUUAGAAACUCUUGAUGUCAGAAAUGUCCUGCAGUAAAACGGCUACUAGAUGCUUGUUCAAUCCAUGUCGUGGAGGAACCGAACUAAGUCGAUAUUGAUCAAGACCUCAAGCAAUCUCACAUCACACCCGCUGAACAACCUCCACCAACUACCCAAGAGAGCUAGGAGUGGUAGUGGCAACCGGCAGAGCUCCCAAGACGACACCUCAAGGGACGGGACAACACCACUGCGCCGCCGUCGUCUGACCAAACUGGUUAAGGUCUUCACUUGAAAAGCUCGCCGGAGAGGAGGGAAUAGGAACCACGGAUGAUGCCUUCAAGAAGGUAAAUGGAGGGCCACGAUGGAGCUCCAGCUCGCCCACGCAGCCAUGGCGGAGCUCGCCCGCUCGUUGUUGCUCCCUCUCGCGUGACAGACGGGGGGCAACGGAGUUGAAGUGGGACGACCCCGUCCGCUCGUUUUUGGCGGACGGGAGCGUCCCGGAUAUUUGCGGUAUAUUCCCUACUAGGGACGACCCCAUCCCGUAUGCUUCUCAACCAAACACUGGCAAAAAUGGGAUCGUCCCGUCCCGUCCUCGGAACCAAACGCACCCUGAAUGGUCUUGCCCUUUCAGCUUUGAAAAAAAGUAAUAAUUGGCCAACUUUGGCUCAGGAUUGUGAAAAAUUCUUUAUGUAGAUAUUAGAGUUUAACAUGAAAAAUGGGAUCUAUAAUACAUAGUCAACAAUGGACAGUAGCUCUUGGACAAGAAAAGGUUGGUUUGAAUAUUUGAAUUGAAGCUCAAAAAUGGAACCCAGUUGCUGUUCUAAGGUUUGUCUGACGAACUGAAUUGCAAGUCCAGUGAUCACUGACAAACUGAAUGGCAGUUGCCAUUGCACUCUGAAAACGGCAAUAAGUAGCCAACUUUGGCUCAAAGUCUGAAAAAGUUCUACAAAAGAGUGUUGGCCAAUAACCUGCAAAAUGGGUUGUAGGAUCUAUGGUUAACCAAUGUCAGUACCUAUUGUACAAGAAAAAGGAGGUUUAAAUAUUUAAAUGGGAGCUCAAAAUUUGAAUCUUGUACUGACGGUUAUAACUGGAACAAGCUCGAGUUCGAGUUUCAGCCAAAGUUCAGAGAAAAUUUGAACUAGUUGUUGGAGAGGGAAAAGAAGGAUUUCAAAUUUAAUUGGGAGCUCAAAAUUGGAAAGUGCCCACAGUUCCAGACUUAACUGUUGGACUGAAUGGCAAAUGCCAUCGAGUCUGAAAACAGUAAGGAGUGGCCUACUUUGGAUCUAGUUUUUGAGAAUUUUUACAUGUAGAUCUUGGACAAGAACAUGCAAAAUGGAAUGUAUAACAUGAGGUUAACAAGUUUCAGCAGUUUUUGGACAAUAAAAAGUUGGUUUUAAUAAUUAAAUUGGAGCUCAAAGAUUGAAAGCGGCACUGUUUCAACAUGGGAUGUUAACUGACGAGCAGAUUCACAGAAAGCUCGAGUUUUUGCCAGGUUCAGAGUUUAUGUUCUCCAAAUCCUUUGAUCGUUGGAACAAAAGCGAUAUCUAUGGCUUGUAGCUGAGUUAACCAUAUACAUUUUUGGUUAAAGGAUCGGGACGAUUUGAUGAAUGGUUUGGUUGAAUUCCAUCAAAGAACACGCCGGGUUUUCCCCCAAAUGUGCCUUGUUACCGCCUUUGUUCCAGCAGUCUGCCUGCUUGCUUGCUGGCCCCGCCGCUUUACCUCGCCUGGCUGUCACGCAGUCGACCGCCUUGCCGUCCAAGCUCUUCUCACGCCACGUCCACGUAACCAAGCUGCUGGCACUCUCUACCACCUUACCCGACCUAUAAACCCGAGCUGCCAUCACCGUCCGUCUUUUUCCCCAUCCGCAAGCACAGAGUAGAUCAGAGCCACCUCGCGCUCGAUUCCGGGAGCCUUGCUGCAUCUUGAUCCAAUUCCUCGCGCCCACAGAUCCUCCACAACCCAAUACACACCCCACACCCCUCCUUUUUGCGGCUAAGCGCCGGCCAAGUCGAUCUCGUCGUUGUUUCUGUCCGUCGGCCGCCAUAGACACCCUCACGGUGAGCACCUGGUUUUUGUUCUUAUCCGUAUGAGAUGUUGGCCCAGAUAGCUUGUGUAGAGACUUCGGAAGCUAUAGUGCAAGCUUGUUGCCGUAGAGACCGGCCGGAGUGCCAUUGUCGUCAUCGUCCGCGUCGGCAAGUCAUGGCCGUGCCCACCGCCGUAGUCGCACGCCCUUCUCCUAUCCACCAGCUUCGUCAAGAACACCACCAGAGGAUGCGCAAGGACCUAGGUAACACAGCCGGUUAGUCCCCGCCAUCGGAAACCUCGCCGCCGGCGAGCAAGCGCCGCUACCCCGCCGGGGGUACUCGCGAUCAAGGCGGGCAACUGUGCCUUGACCCGGGGGCCCGCUUGUCAGUGGCCGUGGGUAGGUGGAGCGCGGGUGAGAAAAGAGAGUUCCGACGGGUUUUGGGGAAAAAUAGAUUUAGGUGUUUUAGAUAUUAGUUUUAAAUCCAGUUCUCAUAUUUAAUUCACCAAAAUUUGUACAAUUGUCAAAAAUAGUGAAACAAAUUUUGUUAGGUUUGUUUUAUUUUCCUUUAUGCAUUAAAAUUCUUAAACCUUAGGAGAAGAUAAUAAAAAUUAGGUAUUUAUUUAGUACCUUUAUUUAAGGUAUUUAAAUAAAUACUUAACCUUUAUCAAAUGUAUAAAAAUUUUAAUAAUGUUUUUAUUAUUCAAAAAUGCUUAUUAAUCCAUAGGAAUUAGGUUUUGAGAUUAGAAAUUAUUUAUAAUACUUUUCUAAAUAAAAUAAAAGGUUUAAGUUAGGUUAGUUAAGAAAAUUAAUUUGUGGGUUAAUCUUUUGGGUAGAUUAGUGUUGGCUUGCAACUUGUAUAGUCGUAUUCUAAUUGUGCCUUGCAUCAUAUCAUAGAACCUGAAGCUCCUAAAGUGGAUUUCGUGAAAUUAUCUGAAAGUUUAAGGAACGUGUUAAAGUUGCUCCUUUUAUUAACACUUUUUUACCCCAGGCAAGCCCUGAAGCAUCUACACCUAUCUACUUUUAGAAAUUAGUAUUCAUGUGUUCAAAUUAUUGGUUAUUUCCCUAUUUAUGCAUGAGGUCUAGAAGUGGAUUGAAACCUUACUUUCAUGCACAAUCCGACAAUCCGACCAUGUUUGUUAAGGACAUCUAUACCGCCUGUUCAAAAUAGCCUGUUCCAAAUAAUUAGUAAUUGUCCCAUGCUUAGCAAAGUGUAAUCAUGCAAUUCCAAUCUUUUUAGUACCUCUGGUGCUCACCAACCUAAGGUAACGUUGUUCAUAUAUGUUUUAUCUGAGUACCUAACAUUGUUCAUAUAUGUUUUAUGUCAAGGAAAUGGCCUGUUUUGAAAAUAGUGGACGGAAGCUUGGAUGGAAUCAAGAAAGGAGACUUGAGCUCCAUAGUUCCGUCUACUCGGUUAAUGAAUUAAGGCCCGUUCGUUGUCUUAACCAGUGAUCAAGUGAUUUUACCUAGUUGCUUACUGUUUAUGGGACCAGUAAAGUCUGGUAGGUUAGUUGGCUCUUUGAUUGGAAAUAUUCUUACCCGUGCUUGAUGUGCUGGAGAAUGGCAGGGGCGUAGUCUGAAACUCACAUGGAGAUCAGGCCAGAUGUGGGGUCUUAUGUGGGGGUGCGUCCCUGGAUUCGGGUAAUUAUAAUUCCGAUCUUUGGGUACGGCUAAUUGAAAGGUCGUUAUGCGCAACUCACGUAGUUGUGCAUGGCUGGUGAUUAGGUAUUUCCUAUAGGAUGUAAAUCGGUAUGGAUCGUUGCAAUUGUCGAUUAUGAAUGCACUUGAUCAUCACUUAAGCAUCGAAGAGUAAUCAAAUUGAAUAUAAUUUUUUCCUUGAAUUAUUAAUAUUGUAUGAUGUUUAGUUCCACUUGAUUGAUCAAAAUGUUUUAUUCACCUAACCAGGUAAGAACUAAUUAGUUUUAAAAUAAUAAAACUAACGUUCCACAAGUAGUAAGUUUUUCGCAAAAAUGUUGAGUCAGCAAAUACACUAAAAAGGCUAUUAUGCUCCUUAAAAUUUUAUUUUAGUUUAUCUAGACCUUCAUACUAAGGGGAUCCUCUUUUGUUGUUUUCCGCCGUACAGCAGCGGUCUACCGAAGAUGAAGGCUCGAAGAACUAGGGUAGUUUACGAGUCUCGCAAUACCCUAGUAAUAAACUUAGUUAUAAAUUUAGUUGUUUAAUUACUUUACUUCCCAUUGUUUAUGUUUGAAACUCUCAGAACGGUUUUUUAACUUGCACCAUAAGUUUGUUUUGUUUCAAUAUAUGGUUUGCAAUAAUUCGCACCUUCAAUAUUUAUGGAAAAAUGUAAAUUUGUUGAUGUUUUCCCUUCGUGGAAGCGAUCCUAAUGUACAGUUAAGAUUCAAGUGGUGGAUGAUUCAAGGCGUCCUAGGAACACUCGAUACACUCGACAGUCGACCGCCUUGCCAUCCAAGCUCUUCUCACGCCACGUCCACGUAACCAAGCUGCUGGCACUCUCUACCGCCUUACCCGGCCUAUAAAAAACCCGAGCUGCCGUCGCCGUCCGUCUUUUUCCCCAUCCGCAACCACAGAGUAGAGCAGAGCCACCUUGCACUCGAUUCCGGGAGCCCUGCUGCAUCUUGAUCCAAUUCCUCGCGCCCACAGAUCCUCCACAACCCAAUACACACCCCACACCCCUCCUUUUUGCAGCUAAGCGCCGGCCAAGUCGAUCUCGUCGUUGUUUCUGUCCGUCGGCCGCCAUAGACACCCUCACGGUGAGCACCUGGUUUUUGUUCUUAUCCGUAUGAGAUGUUGGCCCAGAUAGCUUGUGUAGAGACUUCGGAAGCUAUAGUGCAAGCUUGUUGCCGUAGAGACCGGCCGGAGUGCCAUUGUCGUCAUCGUCCGCGUCGGCAAGUCAUGGCCGUGUCCACCGCCGUAGUCGCACGCCCUUCUCCUGUCCACCAGCUUCGUCAAGAACACCACCAGAGGAUGCGCAAGGACCUAGGUAACACAGCCGGUUAGUCCCCGCCACCGGAAACCUCGCCGCCGGCGAGCAAGCGCCGCUACCCGCCGGGGGUACUCGCGAUCAAGGCGGGCAACUGUGCCUUGACCCGGGGGCCCGCUUGUCAGUGGCCGUGGGUAGGUGGAGCGCGGGUGAGAAAAGAGAGUUCCGGCGGGUUUUGGGGAAAAAUAGAUUUAGGUGUUUUAGAUAUUAGUUUUAAAUCCAGUUCUCAUAUUUAAUUCACCAAAAUUUGUACAAUUGUCAAAAAUAGUGAAACAAAUUUUGUUAGGUUUGUUUUAUUUUCCUUUAUGCAUUAAAAUUCUUAAACCUUAGGAGAAGAUAAUAAAAAUUAGGUAUUUAUUUAGUACCUUUAUUUAAGGUAUUUAAAUAAAUACUUAACCUUUAUAAAAUGUAUAAAAUUUUUAAUAAUGUUUUAUUAUUCAAAAAUGCUUAUUAAUCCAUAGGAAUUAGGUUUUGAGAUUAGAAAUUAUUUAUAAUACUUUUCUAAAUAAAAGAAAAGGUUUAAGUUAGGUUAGUUAAGAAAAUUAAUUUUUAGGUUAAUCUUUUGGGUAGAUUAGUGUUGGCUUGCAACUUGUAUAGUCGUAUUCUAAUUGUGCCUUGCAUCAUAUAAUUGAACCUGAAGCUCCUAAAGUGGAUUUCGUGAAAUUAUCUGAAAGUUUAAGGAAGGUGUUGAAGUUGCUCCUUUUAUUAAAACUUUUUUACCCCAGGCAAGCCGUGAAGCAUCUACACGUAUCUAUUUUAGAAAAUUACUAUUCAUGUGUUCAAAUUAUUGGUUAUUUCCCUAUUUAUGCAUUAGGUCUAGAAGUGGAUUGCAACCUUACUUUCAUGCACAAUCCGACAAUCCAACCUUGUUUGUUAAGGACAUCUUUACUGCCUGUUCAAAAUAAUUAGUAAUUGUCCCAUGCUUAGCAAAGUGUAACCAUGCUAUUCCAAUCUUUUUAGUACCUCUGGUGCUCACCAACCUAAGGUAACAUUGUUCAUAUAUGUUUUAUGUCAAGGAAAUGGCCUGUUUUGAAAAUAGUGGACGGAAGCUUGGAUGGAAUCAAGAAAGGAGACUUGAGCUCCGUAGUUCCGUCUACUCGGUUAAUGAAUUUAGGCCCGUUCGUUGUCUUAACCAGUGAUCAAGUGAUUUUACCUAGUUGCUUACUGUUUAUGGGACCAGUAAAGUCCGGUAGGUUAGUUGGCUCUCUGAUUGGAAAUAUUCUUACCCGUGCUUGAUGUGUUGGAGAAUGGCAGGGGCGUAGUCUGAAACUCACAUGGAGAUCAGGCAAGAUGUGGGGUCCUAUGUGGGGGUGCGUCCCUGGAUUCGGGUAAUUAUAAUUCCGAUCUUUGGGUACGGCUAAUUGAAAGGUCGUUAUGCGCAACUCACGCAGUUGUGCAUGGCUGGUGAUUAGGUAUUUCCUGUAGGAUGUAAAUCGGUAUGGAUCGUUGCAAUUGUUGAUUAUGAAUGCACUUGAUCAUCACUUAAGCAUCGUAGAGUAAUCAAAUUGAAUAUAAUGUUUUCCUUGAAUUAUUAAUAUUGUAUGAUGUUUAGUUCCACUUGAUUGAUCAAAAUGUUUUAUUCACCUAACCAGGUAAGAACUAAUUAGUUUUAAAAUACUAAAACUAACGUUCCACAAGUAGUAAGUUUUUCGCAAAAAUGUUGAGUCAGCCAGUACACUAAAAAGGCUAUCAUGCUCCUUAAAAUUUUAUUUUAGUUUAUCUAGACCUUCAUACUAAGGGGAUCCUCUUUUGUUGUUUUCCGCCGUACAGCAGCGGUCUACCGAAGAUGAAGGCUCGAAGAACUAGGAUAUUUCACGAGUCUCGCAAUACCCUAGUAAUAAACUUAGUUAUAAAUUUAGUUGUUUAAUUAUUUUACUUCCGAUUGUUUAUGUUUGAAACUCUCAGAACGGUUUUUUAACUUGCACCAUAAGUUUGUUUUGAUUCAAUAUAUGGUUUGCAAUAAUUCACACCUUCAAUAUUUAUGGAAAAAUGUAAAUUUGUUGAUGUUUUCCCUUCGUGGAAGCGAUCCUAAUGUAUAGUUAAGAUUCAAGUGGUGGAUGAUUCGAGGCAUCCUAGGAACACUCGAUACACUCGACAGUCGACCGCCUUGCCAUCCAAGCUCUUCUCACGCCACGUCCACGUAACCAAGCUGCUGGCACUCUCUACCGCCUUACCCGGCCUAUAAAAAACCCGAGGUGCCGUCGCCGUCCGUCUUUUUCCCCAUCCGCAAGCACAGAGUAGAGCAGAGCCGCCUCGCGCUCGAUACCAGGAGCCUUGCUGCAUCUUGAUCCAAUUCCUCGCGCCCACAGAUCCUCCACAACCCAAUACACACCCCACACCCCUCCUUUUUUCAGCUAAGCGCCGGCCAAGUCGAUCUCGUCGUUGUUUCCAUCCGUCGGCCGCCAUAGACACCCUCACAGUGAGCACCUGGUUUUUGUUCUUAUCCGUAUGAGAUGUUGGCCCAGAUAGCUUGUGUAGCGACUUCGGAAGCUAUAGUGCAAGCUUGUUGCCGUAGAGACUGGCCGGAGUGCCAUUGUCGUCAUCAUCCACGCCGGCAAGUCAUGGCCGUGUCCACCGCCGUAGUCGCACGCCCUUAUCCAGUCCACCAGCUUCAUCAAGAACACCACCAGAGGAUGCGCAAGGACCUAGGUAACAUAGCCGGUUAGUCCCCGCCGCCAGAAACCUCGCCGCCGGCGAGCUAGUGCCGCUACCCGCCAGGGGUACCCGCGAUCAAGGCGGGCAACUGUGCCUUGACCCGGGGGCCCGCUUGUCAGUGGCCGUGGGUAGGUGGAGCACGGGUGAGAAAAGAGAGUUCCGGCAGGUUUUGGGGAAAAAUAGAUUUAGGUGUUUUAGAUAUUAGUUUUAAAUCCAGUUCUCAUAUUUAAUUCACCAAAAUUUGUAGAAUUGUCAAAAAUAGUGAAACAAAUUUUGUUAGGUUUGUUUCAUUUUCCUUUAUGCAUUAAAAUUCUUAAACCUUAGGAGAAGAUAUAAAAAAUUAGGUAUUUAUUUAGUACCUUUAUUUAAGGUAUUUAAAUAAAUACUUAACCUUUAUAAAAUGUAUAAAAUUUUUAAUAAUAUUUUAUUAUUCAAAAAUGCUUAUUAAUCCAUAGGAAUUAGGUUUUGAGAUUAGAAAUUAUUUAUAAUACUUUUCUAAAUAAAAGAAAAGGUUUAAGUUAGGUUAGUUAUGAAAAUUAAUUUGUGGGUUAAUCUUUUGGGUAGAUUAGUGUUGGCUUGCAACUUGUAUAGUCAUAUUCUAAUUGUGCCUUGCAUCAUAUCAUAGAACCUGAAGCUCCUGAAGUGGAUUUUGUGAAAUUAUCUGAAAGUUUAAGGAAGGUGUUGAAGUUCCUCCUUUUAUUAACACUUUUAUACCCCAGGCAAGCCCUGAAGCAUCUAUACCUAUCUAUUUUCAGAAAUUACUAUUCAUGUGUUCAAAUUAUUGGUUAUUUCCCUAUUUAUGCAUUAGGUCUAGAAGUGGAUUGAAACCUUACUUUCAUGCACAAUCCGACAAUCUGACCUUGUUUGUUAAGGACAUCUUUACCGCCUGUUCAAAAUAGCCUGUUCAAAAUAAUUAGUAAUUGUCCCAUGCUUAGCAAAGUGUAAUCAUGCUAUUCCAAUCUUUUUAGUACAUCUGGUGCUCAGCAACCUAAGGUAACAUUGUUCAUAUAUGUUUUAUCUGAGCACCCUAAGGUAACAGUGUUCAUAUAUGUUUUAUGUCAAGGAAAUGGCCUGUUUUGAAAAUAGUGGACGGAAGUUCGGAUGGAAUCAAGAAAGGAGACUUGAGCUCCGUAGUUCCGUCUACUCGGUUAAGGAAUUAAGGCCCGUUCGUUUGUCUUAACUAGUGAUCAAGUGAUUUUACCUAGUUGCUUACUGUUUAUGGGACCAGUAAAGUCCGGUAGGUUAGUUGGCUCUCUGAUUGGAAAUAUUCUUACUUGUGCUUGAUGUGCUGGAGAAUGGCAGGGGCGUAGUCUGAAACUCACAUGGAGAUCAGGCCAGAUGUGGGGUCCCAUGUAGGGGUGGGUCCCUGGAUUCGGGUAAUUAUAAUUCCGAUCUUUGGGUACGGCUAAUUGAAAGGUCGUUAUGCGCAACUCGCGCAGUUGUGCAUGGCUGGUGAUUAGGUAUUUCCUGUAGGAUGUAAAUCGGUAUGGAUCGUUGCAAUUGUCGAUUAUGAAUGCACUUGAUCAUCACUUAAGCAUCGUAGAGUAAUCAAAUUGAAUAUAAUGUUUUCCUUGAAUUAUUAAUAUUGUAUGAUGUUUAGUUCCACUUGAUUGAUCAAAAUGUUUUAUUCACCUAACCCGGUAAGAACUAAUUAGUUUUAAAAUAAUAAAACUAACGUUCCACAAGUAGUAAGUUUUUCACAAAAAUGUUGAGUCAGCCAGUACACUAAAAAGGCUAUCAUGCUCGUAAGCAAAGUGGACACAUGAAAAACAAAUGGGUGCACUGCUGACAUAGAGGUUUGAUUCAGGUCAAAGACAGUUUGCCAUUUCGUUCUGAAUGUGCACUCUUAGUUUAUGCAGAUCAUAUCUGGCAUCACUGACACUGGGAAUUGAAAAUCUAAUAUAGUUACACAUUUUAUCGAAUUAUUAGCAGAGAAGAUGCUAUGACUCAAAAGUCUUCAUCUAUUGGUUACCCAUUGGCGUAGCGUGGAAACAUAAUUGUUACUGAUGGGAACUAACUUCGCCUAUGGUGUGCCCCCCUUCUCCAUAAACUGCAUAGUAGUACGAUACUGUAAAGCUUAAUGAAACACAGGGUUGUCCUUAUUAGAAUAGGCUACAAAUUAACGGAGUAAUUGACAGACUAUUGCAAGUCACAUAUUGAUAGUUAUGCAUAUCUACAACUAUAGUUCAUAUCUUUGCAAGAAUCUAUAGUUCAUAUCUUUGCAAGAAUCUAUAGUUCAUAUCUUUGCAAGAAUGCUAAGGACCAUAAAAGUUUAGUAUAGAACAGUUUCUUACAGUUACAGAUGCUAGAACAUUUUGUGUCAUCCAAAUUUGCAGUACCAGGAAGGGGGAAUCCAUGAGUAGCCUCCAGGGGCAGUAAAAUGUGACUGAAAGGAAUGUUGUACAUGCUGAUCUAGCAGCGGCACAAACGUCCCCAAAGCAAUCGCUUUUGUUUGUAGCCGCGGCACAGCUCAUCCCUGCAAUCUGUCCUCGCCUGGCACCUGGCACCGCUCCUUGGUGAGUCACAAAUCCAUGGCAACUUGUAAUAGCAAGAACAUGGAUUCAUGAAGAAUCUUUGCUGCAAACAGAAAAUGGACGGAACAGACUUGAUAUUAGAUGUCCUUGCGCAUCAGUUGCUACAUUCUAAAACUGAAAAAACUAACUAUUCAGUGACCAGCUUACGUUGGACGCAUUUCCUCGAGCACCUUCUGGGCGUCGUCCAUAUCGACAGCCACUCCAGCUGCUGGGGCACUGGCCGGCGAGCUCUGCACCAUGGGAGGUCGCACGGGUGUGCGAGGGAGAUGCCCACGCUUGCAUGUCCCAUGUCUUCUUCGUCGCACCCACGUGGGCCUUUCGCAGCAGUCGCGGGAACACCGUGUUGGUUCCUCGGCGAGCGGUGGACAGCAGGUGUUGGGGAUGGUUGGAGACCGGAGGAAGGAGUAGGAGGCGGCUCUGACCCUCACCAUGCGCUAUCGGCACCUCGGGGCCGACUGUGUGCCACCGCCGUCGGCCCAGCCUCUCCACCUGCGCCCCGCAAAACCAACCAUCCAAUCCGUUGCCUCAGCCCAGCCCUCACUGUCACGCCAUCGUCGCCUCGCUCUUCUUCAACGCAGCAACGCCUUGAUCCCUCUAUGCAGUCGAUUGCGUGGGAGAAGACCCAAGAACCGUCCUCGGUUGUCAUCUGCGACAAGCUGGCCACCUAAAAGCGCCCACCCAUGUCGCUGUUCAGACCCCUCACGACGCGUUGCGUCGCCACACGGUAUGGCGUCGCCCGCAACCUCACCUACAAGGAAGAAGCCCAUACCGCAGCCCGGCGGUGACGCAAGCAACAGGGAAGGAGAGGCCCACGCGCGCACGGAAAGACCGGUCGCCCACGUCCAUGGCGACGGGGAAGCGACGCGACGGCGGCGGCGGGGGCGGGGUCCUUCCGGAGUAUGCCGCGACCGGUCCGGGGGCUCCUAACGGGGACCAUCGCGGGCCUGGCCGGUAGCGAUGAAAACGGACGGACAAAACCCGUUACCGCCCGUCCGUUUUCCCUCCAGGUAUACGAAAACGGUACGGUAAGAUCCGGUAACGGGAAAAUGGUACGGUAAGAUCCGGUAACGGGAUAGGAAAUGGAAUAGGGUAUCCGGGAACGGAACGGGAUAUGGUUGAGGGGUAUCCCGUCGGUAUUUGCGGGAUCCGUUUAAUCCAGAAUGAUCCCGUAUUCAUCCCGUUUCUAAUUUAAUGGAAUAAGCCUGGUACCUCAAUCCCCCGAACCCCAAUCGUCCAAUCUAGUCCAACACACCCAUCAAACAACCCUAAUCCCCUUCCCUUUAUCUGGUCCUGGCGUCUGGCAUCGGCAACUUCCCGUUCGGCCGUUCCCAAUUCAUCCCGCCGCCUCCACCUACCCCUGCCCCCUGGCCCCCUGCCACAUGCCGUCGGCCUGCCCCCUGCCGUCGCAUACCCGCACCGCCGCUACCGGCCCCUAGCCCUCUGCCGCCGCGUGCCGGCCUGCCCCCUACCGCCGCUCUGCCUCUGCACGACUGCGCCUCUAUCAGCUGCCACCACCCGGCCCCUGGCCCCCUGCCGUCGCCGGCCCGUGGCCCCCUGCCACCGCUCUGCUAGGCGCCAGCUGCUGCCGCCCGUCGCGUAUCUUGCUGCUGCUCACUAUUCCAUUGUAUUUCCAUCCACGUUUGUCCAUUUUCGUAUACCUAUUUAUCCCGCUCAUGACUGUCCCGCUCCCGCUCCCAUUUCCGGUGAAAAAAUAUGGGACGGGACAUGAUUAAGGUGUUUUCCCGUCCGUUCCCGUCUAUUUUCAUCGUUACUGGCCGACACACCUUCGCUCCAACCUUGGAGGAUUCUAACAAAAGUACCCACACUUACUUAAAAAUCAUCGUAAAACAAUGAUCAGUUUGACAAGGAUAACGUUGUUGAUGACUAUUACUUUCACGGGGAUGACUUUGCAUUCAAGGUACUCAAGAUACUUUUGGGAUUUGUAUACCGACGUAAAGUUAGAUUUGAGUUUUGUGCUGUAAAACAUGGUCGUUAGGCCGACUUUUGUAAAGUAUAACUAUCAUGUGUAAAGAAGACCGGUAUUGUACUAUCCUUUGUACGACUGAUUUCCUGGGUGGUUGACUAUUCGCCGAUCAGCUUUAGUAAAGGUUGAGCUGAUGUGGCCGAGUCAAAUGGAUCGGUCUAACCUCGGGCAAUGGCGUCCAACCAUAUAGGGAAAGUGGCUUAGGCUCGUGUUGACACUCGAGAAAUCCGUGGACGUAGAUAUUUACAUACACGCACACUCACCUAAUGAAUACGUAUACACAAUCCUACCAUGAGCACAUCCGAGAGAUUGAUCCGACAAAUCUUGAAAUUAACGAAGACACCUCACACACUUUGCUAUCGAUGGACACGUUACCUACCAAUAAAAGAAUAGUGCUAGUUAAAUUAUAGAAUAAAUAAAAAAAGACAAGCACACAUAUUGAGUCGAUAACUCGAACCCAUAUCAGCAGCUUAGAUUUCACCACAAGAAACCAGCUGCGUUCACUUGUUAUAGUUAUACUAUUAUGAGAUUAUCUAUAAUGCCAUAUAUUAUUAACAUGAACAAACUUAUAGCUAACAUGUUAGCUUUACGGAGACGCUGAAAAGUAAGAUGAAGCAGCACAUCUGGCGACCGUGGAGGAUAAAAGGCUUACGUUGGUCUAUAGCUAAGUCAAUAAAUAGAUGCUAACAAGUAUCGCGACGUUAACUCCAUCGAGUCAUUAUUCAUAUUUGCCUCUGCUAAAGCACGAGUUAAUCACGCGACUAUCCGCUAAAAGAAAAAGAAUUACAUUUCUCCUGUUCGUGAGGUACAUACACAUCUCCUAAUAAUACAGUAUUAAUAAGCUCUAGAGCAACCGUUGCUAUCAUGCAUGUAGACGCCCAUGGACAGUAGAUGGAGCAAAUCUUGCGCGCGAUCGAGCUAGUUACCUUAUCUGCGGCCCACAGAACGUCAACGUGUAAGGAAAGUAUAGCUACGCCAACGAACAAAGCUUGGAGAAGGACAGACAGCGAAUGGUCCAUGGUGUCAUGGUCCAGCUUGUCUGAAGAUUAGAUCUGAUGAGAUCAGAUCGUAUAUAGGUUCACCCCCAACUAAUCAAUGCAUGCAGUACCGUGGUCCAUGGAGACGGGAGAUAUUUGGCUUUUGUUGGCCUAUGCAAUGCAGCGAUGCAAGAAUUAUUGGAGACAGUUACAAAUUGUCCUCGCGCUGCAUGAUAUAUCCAGGUACUCUGCGAUGUACCGUGAUGUCCCAGCAUGCUUUGCUAGGUGCUUUCUGUUGAUCGAUCCAGAUGUUACUGGAACCAGCCAGGUAUGACAUCCAUAGCUAUUAAACCAUUUGGUGCAGGAGGCGAGGACCAAGCUGGCGGGUGAGAGCUAGCUGCUGUUGUAGUCUUCAUGAAUCAUGAUCGUGCCAGAAGUUGGAGCAUCGCCGUGUGACUUGUGUUUACAUUAUUGCUGCAGUAAACACCUCUUUGUUGCCGCCUCCCACCUCCACUGUUGUGAUUAUCGUUGCCCCUCUCCUACCCGACCGGCAUCUGACUCGAUCUUGCGGUUGGCAUUUGGCAACAUCGCCUCCACCUUGCCACCCUACUUGCCAAUGCCAUCAUCGCCGGCUGGCCUACCGCUGCGGGCAUCCAGGUGAAACCACAUAUAAUCAUAGGUGGACACUUUAGAAAAAAAGAGAAAUCCUAAAAAUUAUUUAAAAAAAGCAAAACAGCUGACCAUCAAUCGAUAGACUCAAAUCAUCAUAGCCAUUGGAUCUAUUAUGUUUUUUCUAAGAAAUUACCCACCUAUGUCAUUAUGAAAGUACCUUAAGGUAACCCCUAAAUUUAUAUCUAAAUUACCCACCUCUACCAUUAUAUAAAAUAAAUUAAAAUAACCUCUUAAUCUUCAUCAAAAUUACCCACUAUUCCGUUACAAAUAAUAUUUAAAAUAACCCCCUAAAUUUGCAACUAAAUUGACCACCACUAAUCCUUAAAAAAAUAACUUAAAUAACCUCUUAAAUUUUCAUCUAUAUUACCCACAUAUGCCAUUAUUAGAAAUGACAUGAGGAGGUAACCCUACAUUUGAAUCCAAAUCACCUUAAUUAAAAAUAUACACUAAUGCAUGAUUCUAAAUGUCUAUUAAUUUCUUACACUAUUGGUAUAUGAUAUAAUAACUAAGGUCUAUACAUAUGAUGUGUGUCACCAGUUAUAAAGAUAUAGAGGAAGUGAUGAAAAUAUAGAUUUCUAUGUUAAAAUUAUAGCUCAAACUUAGGGUUCAUUAAACAAAUUCAAAUGCAAAGUGAAAAAGUUAAAGAUUAUAAACGUGGAUGAACUAACUAAAAUCUAUCAUAAUUAGAUGAAGAUAAUAAGUAUGUGUCUACAAAAAUAUUGCGUUCGAAUAUUUAACAAAUGAGAGGUAGCUCAAGGUAAUAGUUUUGUAGCAAUGUGGUCUCAUUUUUUCCAUUGAAGACUCCGCAUUAGUUCUCAUGAGACACACUAGAAAAAACAAAUCCUAGAAAUUAUCAAAAAAAUUAGAAACAUCAAUCCUGUAAACUCUAAUAAUUAUAUUCAUUGUUAUAUUAUAUUUUCUAAAAGGUUACCCAAUACUAUCAUUAUGAAAAUACUCUAAAAUAAAACCUAAAGCUAUAUCUAAAUUACGGAGUUCUACCAUUAUUAAAAAUAAUUUAAAGUAACCCCACAAUUUUCAUCCAAUUUACUCAUGCAUAUCAUUAUAAAGCAUAACUUAAAAUGUCAUUCUAAAUUUGUUACCCAUGUAUGUCAUUAUUAAAAUAAUUUAAAGUAAACACAUAAAUCUUAAUCUAAUUAUCUUUAUGUGCAUCAUACAGAAAUAUCUAAAAGUAAAGUAAUAUAUGAUUAUGAUUCUAAAUUACCUAUUUAUACCAUUGUUAAUAUAGAAAUACUAAGUUAAGGUAUUGUUGAUGCCAGAUUUUGACACGUAUGGGAUCGGCGUCAAGAGAAGAAAGGAUUGGCUGAUGUGGUGGAUUAAAAGGUCAUGAUUGGGAAUCGGCCGAUUGGUGCUACAACUCAGAAUCAGCCGAUUGGCGCUGCAGUGUUUUGGCGGAUGGAGAUCGGCCGAUUGGAAGGCUGGAGCGAUUGGGCCAAUAUGGGCUUAAAGUGGAUCAGAGAAAGAAGAUAGAGAAAGAUUGGCCUGUGGGAGUACAAUAAUCAAUUCCGAUACGAGUUGUGCUUGUAAAUACUCAUUUUCGUUUAAAAUUAGAGAUAGAUCCUAGUCGGUUAGGAAAUUAGUUGUAACAGGCUAUAAAUAGCCAUCUUUAGAGAUUUGCAAAGAACACAUCAAUCAAUACAACAAUCUACUAUUUCAUCGUACUUUACUUUCAAGUCGGCGACUUCGCCAAUACUUUUCUUCUUUCACGAGUUCGUACGGGUUGGCAGGGCUGCAUCGACGCGAUCUCCGGCCGAUUCUGUAAGUUCCGUUUACCGAGUAAUAUCUAAGCUUUAACUUCAGGCGCAUCGCUGUCGUUUCGUUUAGAUUUAUUCAUAAGUUAUCGAUAUUUGCUAGAAUCAUAGGUUUUAUCUACUGUUCUAGUUUUAUCACCAGUUAUCCAGCUUGAGAUUUGAACUAUCGGCUCUUUUGUUGCUAUUUUCAUUCAUUAUUGUCGCGUAGCCGGUUAGAUCUAUUUCAAGUGUUGCUUUUGUAGCUUUAUCUGGUUUACUCUAGUAGUUUUCUUCGUAAUGGCUACGUGAUUGUCGGCUGUAUCAUAGCCGAUUAUCUUUAUAUAGCAAAUCGGUCGAUUCGCUGAUACGCUUUUCGAGAUCGGAACCUUAGCCGAUCGGAUGCCUUGGAAUUUGAAACGUUUUCUUCCUUGCUAAUCAACAGGUCAGAUUGGCUGGCACGCCGCGCGAACCGCACCAGGGCGAUUACCCGAACAGGAGCUAAGCAGAUUCUCCCGGGUCAUGUGUCCAACGCUGAAGGUCAAUCGGCUGACUUUUAGCGCCAACAGGUAUAUACACAUGAUAAUUGUCACCAUGUAGACCAUUUAUACAUGUAUGUGAGGAAGUGAUGAGAAAUAAUGAUUUUUAUGCUAAACACAAUGUAUGGAGGUGCGAUACAAAAUGGAAAAAGUGUGAAUAUGGAUGAAAAAUUGUAUAGAGUAAUUACUAAUUAAAAAUCAAUCACAACUAGAUAAAAAUAAGUACGCAACUAUAUGAGUAUUAUAUUGAAGUACUGAAAAAAUAAGAGAGUAGUAGGUAAACAAUAUUGAUUAUUAGCUAGUAGUUUAAUUUCUAAAUAAUUUUUAAAUAUAAUAGCUUUUAAAAAAAUAUUAGUUCGUGCGGGAGUAUGGGUUGAUGGACUAGUCCACUGAUCUGGGAAACAUAGGAGACAGUGAAGAAGUUGUCUAGGACACAUAUCAGCUUAGACGAUUAAGAAGUUGGUAGGACGCAGAGCAAUUUGUGACGUGCACAAGAUGGAAAAAUCUGAGUGUGGAAGCUCCAAAGAGGGUGUUAGCGUAUUUGUAGUAAUUAACAAGAAAUUAUGAACUGAAAGCGAAUGGCAUGCACCUUAAUAACAAAUAUGCUAUGAAGCGAAGGAAAAAAACAAAAUCUGAAUGUACUUAAAUCAGUGGGCCCUUGGUAUGAUUAAGUAUCAACCAGUUAUUCUUCAGUGAUGGUUAGUGCACGAAGAUGGGGAUAACGUACGUCCACAUUGUUGCUUGUAGCGAGUACAGUACUUGCUGCGCGGUUGAUAAGAUAUGGGCCACAUACAUACUCUGCUUCCCCUUGCGUGUUUAACUUCAACGAAAACUGGAUAUAAACAUUUUAAGAAAUAAAACAUCUUUUUUAAAACAGAAAAGAAAACAUCUAAUUUAUAUUGUACACAUGCAUCCGAUCUGGUUUUUCCUAACAAGCGUGUAGGGUCAACAACAUGGUUUUAUUUUAAUAAUCCACCUAUGACUUCAAGUGCUAUGGACCAGUUCACAAAUAUGUCACCAUAGACAUGACCUUUUCAGCCAACUAUCUAAGAAUUCCCCAUUUAAACCAGUAGAGGCAUGCUCUUUCCUUAUCUGUAUUGAUUUAGGACUUGACACCAGGAAAACAUGAUCAUGGGCACAGCAACCCCUGUUCACUGGCUUUACCCGAUUAAUAUAAGUUUUAAUGUGCUCCAGCUAUAUACAUAUAUCCAGAAGGGAAACUUUGGCGGGAACCAACUAUAAGAUGGAUAAAUUGACAGAACAAGAAGUCGGUGAUAACACAUAAGCCUUGAAUUGAAUGCUGAUAUGAUGGCGCGUGAGAUUAGCAGCAAAUUUCCAGUUGGCCUGGGAGCGUGAUCGUUUUGAAAUGAUGGCAGAAUGAUCCGGUGGUCCAGAAGGGUGUCCGCAAGAUCGCUGCAGGUUAAUCAACAUACGGAGUACACAACAUGACAUUUACUCAAAGAGACGUGCCCCAAAAAAUACAAAUAAAACACACUUUUGGACUAUUUUUCUUUUCUUUCCUAAACGUGUUACAAAUAUACACGUAUGCAGGCACAUCCCAUAUGAGUAUCUUCAUCGAACUGUCCCGGCGAAUCUUAAAAAAAAACAGAGAGAAAUCUCAUCUCACCCUAACCAAUUGAGCCUCGUUUCCAUCACCUUGAGAAUCGAGAUGCCUUGGCACAGCCGUUCAACCCCAUCGGACCGAUGGUGUAUAUAAGCGCCACGCCGAGACGCGGAGCAUGCCAGCAUGCAUCGAAUCCCGCCGAAUCGGGGAUUAGUGCCACGUCCAGGAGCAACACAUUGUUGACGGAAAAAAUCAGAAAGUGGUCCUAACUCUUGCGUCGGACACACGACUCGGAAGAAUCUGCUUAGCUCCUAUUCGGGUUAUUGCCCUGGUGCAGUUCACACGGCGUGCUAGUCAAUCUAACAUGUUGAUUGAUAGGGAAGAAAAGAUAUUAAAUUCCAGUGAUUCGAUCGGCUGAAGUUCUAAUCUAUUCCAAAAGAUGUAUUAGCGGAUUGGCCGAUUUAGUGUAAAGAUGACCGGCUAUGAAACAGCCGAUAAUCACGUGGCAAUUGUAAAAGAAACUACUGUUGUAAUCCUAAACAAUGUUACAGAGACAACACUUGGAACAGAUCUAAUCGGUUGUAUGAUGAUAAACAAGAUUUUGAUAUAGCUGACAGUUCGUGCCUCAAGCUAGAUAACUGGUGAUAAAAAUUAAAAUAACAGGUAAAACCUAUAAUUCUAGUAGGUAUCGAUAACUAUAACUAGUGAAUAAAUCUAAACAAAACAACAACGAUGCGCCCAAAGUUAAAGCUUAGAUAUUACUCGAUACGCGGAACUUACAAAUUGGCUGGAGGUCGUCUUAAUGCAGUCCUGCCAACUCGCACGAACUCGUGAAAAGAAAAGGAUUUGGCGAAGUCGCCGACUUUAAGUAAAGUUACGUGAAAGAGUAGAUUUGUAUUGAUAAUUGUUGGUUUAUUUUACAAGCCUUACGAGGCACCUAUUUAUACCCUGUUACAACUGAUUUCCUAACCGACUACGAUUUUAUCUCUAAUUCAAAAUAACAAACUUUUACAUAUGGACACAACUCGCAUCGGAGUCGAACACUAAUCAAUCUUCUAUAGGCCAACUCUGUCUUCAUCUUGUUACUGCCUUGGCCCAUUUAAGCCCAUGUUGGCCGAGCUGCUAUGGCUUCCGAUCAGCCAAUCUCCAUUGACUCCAUCGGCUAACCGGCCAAUUUCCCUAGCCACAGCCUCCUGUUUAACUGCGUCGGCCAUUUUCUUCUUUUCUUGACGCCGACCCUAACACGUGUCAAAAUCCGGCGUCAACACAUGCCCCCAAAUUUCGGAGUGAAACUUAUCUUUUGCUCCAAAAUUUUCUCAACUCAGAUUCCUUCCUCUGGAAGAGAAGUAACAAUAAAUGCGGCAAAAUCCUUUUUGCUCCCGAAAUCUUCUCCUUAAUGAUUGCACUUUUUCGAACAGAGCGCCUGCGGGCAACCGCUCUUUUCGAAAUUGGCGCAGAUGGCGCGGUAAAAAUUCUAUAUUUACCCCUCUCUCAAGCCAUCCCCCAUAUAUUCAUCUCUUUUGCCGCUUCUUCUAUCUCUGGGCGAAAAGGAUUUUCUUUCCGGCGAAUCGUCUCCCAAAGCACUCCAGCAUCCUUGCUCAUUCCACCCUUAGGCGCAUCCCAGUGACUUUCUCCUAUUCUUCAUCAAUCGUACCGGCUUCCAAGUCUCAAUGGCGACACCUACCGCCACCAUGGCCAUCGUCCCUAAGGUAAAUUUUCUGAGCCCUCUUUUUUUACCUUUUCACGAUUUCUAGAUCUGUUCUUAGUUUUUCUUCGCAUUUGCUCAGGAACUUAGGCAGAGAAUUACCAUCCCCAUGGCCGACACCCCUGGACUCAUCGGUCUUGGCCCUAUGGGAGAUCCUAACCCAACCGAUCUGAUCACCCUGGAAACUCAUAGGAUUCCUUUAAACAAUAAACUAUGGAUUUGGACAUUUGGACGAACACCUUCAAGUCUUGGCCGAAUCAAACUCCCGGCUGGAGAGAGUGGUUUUUUAGGAUGUCGAAUUCCAAGAGAGUCUUCUGGGAUGAGCGGAAAAUCGGCCACUGCAUAAAUCUGUCCCUAUCUCAUAUGGAAAGGAAUGACUCUCUGCUCAUCGCGGCAUCUUAUUUCUGGUCCGAUGCUCUCAAUGCGUUUCUUUUCGGCCACGGAUCAAUGACUCCAACUUUGGCCGAUGUUCUGAUGCUGACUGGCCUCGAUAUCUCCUCCGCCGAUACACCUUUCGAUCUUUUAAUCAAACCUAUCCACCGGUUGGAAACGAAAGCCAUCGGCGGAUAGAAAGGCUUCAUCGAGAAGAACAUGAAGACCGGACCCAUCACGAAAAAGGAACACAGAACCUUCUUGAUGAUGUGGUUAGAAAAACAUCUUUUCUAUGGAAAAUCGGCCGGUCCUACCUCCAAUACGCAAGCUGUUGGCAAAGCACUAGCAAGAGGCGCCGCUGUCCUUUGGGAAACACUUGGUAGGGUCAGUGUACUACAUGUUGCAUCAAGUCACAGUGAAGUUGUCACCUGGGGAACCCAUCGAGAACCCUGGUGGUCCCUGAUGGUUUGUCAACCUCUAGCUCAAUUUAUAUAUGAGCAAAAUCUUCAAAGAACGGAUCGAGACCAAGACCUUCCCCAAUGUAGAAUCAGAGACUGACCCAUCAGCAAGAUGUCGCUGCACCUCUUUCGGAGAAGCUGUAUCUUCCUUCCUAGGAAGCAAGCUUGCUCCCUCAAGAAUAGCUGAGCACUUCAGAUGCUUUUGCAACGGCUUCAAAGAAGAAGUAACAAACUGGUAUCCGUAUCAAAGAGAAGAUCCAACUUUUGAGAAUCCUGACUGCUUUGACUCGAAUACCAAUACUUUUGAUGAGGGAGUCAUGGAUAUCCUGAUUAAACCUGGAAUUCUGCCGGCAAACUUUUUUUCUGGGAAGGACUCCCCAACAUAUGAGUUCUACAACCCAUCGGUGGCAGCCAGACAAUUUGGCUUGGGGCAAAUGCCCAUCAGGGUCCACUUCAUCGGUCGAGUGAAAUUUCGAGAACCACUUUCAAGAAGAUUUGAAUACAACAAAUUAUGCAACCUGACACCAGACUCCAACACCAUUGAUCUGAGCACUUGGCUGGUAGUACCCUUCUCUACUCAGCAAUUCAAAUUAUGGUGGGCCUAGUAGAAAUAACACCUUUUCUGUGCAGCCCCUAUGGUGUAUUGCAAUCAGCUGGACCCCACUCACGCCGAUCCAUACGAAGAGGUAACAGUACUUUUUCUACCGGCUUUUACUUUCAUGCCGCAAAGUCCCCUUAUUUUUAUCCUUUUCCUCUGCGCAGGUUGAUAGCCAAACACCUCCAACGCACAGUUGGAGCGGUAGAUUGAUAGAGACCCAUCAUCCGUACACGCCGUACCCCGUCAUCGGCUACCACACCCCAUCAAUGGAAGACAUAGCCGCCGGCCGACUGAGGCAUAAGCUCAAAAUGUCCACCACAAAGAAAACAAGUCACAGGGUACGAGCUCGUACUAAAUCGGCAACAACUCGGACGACCGACCAAUCGGCAACAACAUCGGCCGAGCCCUCAGCCGCACCAAUCCAAGUAGAUGUCCUGCCAACAAUUUAGGACAUUGAUCCCCUGACGGCAUCAGAAGCAGGGUCGGUGGUUGCAUCUCUCCUUGUGGAGGUCAUACAGGUAAUCUUACUGCUAGAGCUUCUUCAUAUGUAUCACCAAUGCUAAAUUCAUCCCUUUUUAACAGGCCGCACAACUCGCUCCGGAGCAGACUGUUCCUCAAUCGGCCGAUCCCCGAGCUGAAACCAUGCCACCAACAAAUCUUCAGAUUGAGGUAAAGAACACGCUCUUCACUUAAUCUCCAUAAUUUUUCAACUAAAACCGGCUGAUUCUUGGCACAGGAUGCUCUAGACACAUCAGUUGUCCCAUUUGAGCGACCAUCGGCUGCGCGAUUUCUAGAGGUAGGAAAACUAAGACCCACAUUUAGAUCUAAUAUUCUUUUUAUACUUACAAAUGCUUCCAUUUCCCUUCUCCAGGAGGCUGGUCCAAGCACCUUACCGGCUAUUACCAGAGAGCCGAUUAUUGUUGAAUCUUCUCCUUCUGAUGAACUACCGCCGCCGAUUUCUGAGACGGGAGCAGCAAUCCCGCCAACCCAGGCAGAAGAGAUUCAUUUUAAAGAGGUAAGGGCCUUCUAUCUCCACUAGCCGAUUUCUUGCUUCUGUCGGCUAAAACGUUUUUUCCCCUUCCCUAUAGGAACAGGAUAUGCCAAACAACAGCCUCUUCUCUUUUGUAGUUGCGGUCUCCGAUAAUGAGGAAGUCGCAUCACGCCAGAUAACCUUGGACUCAAUACCAGAAGAGGUCCGCGCCAAGCUCCAAAACAUGCAAGCCCUUCCCCAGGAAAACGUUGGCCGAUUGGUGGAGGAUGCCGAACCGAUACGGCGAAUAUUCAACGAGAUCAAAGGCCAAGUCCCAGAAGACGCAAAAGAGGCUCUCGCACCCUCAGCAUACAUUGAAAUCAUGCAGGUUCCAGUGUUUAGAGCCUUGCGACACAUGGCCGAUCAUCCUAAACUGGAGAAGGCACGUCAAGAAGAAGAAUCUUACAAGCAUCGUGCGCAAGAGGUACAUCGGCAGAUUGGCAUCCACGAGACCUCCUGUCCGAGCAUCAUCAGUGCAAUAGACCGGCUCAAACGGCGCAGAGCAGAACUUGCCAAAGAAAUGGAACAGGUAAUAAAAGCUAUCGCCGCUGAAGAAAAGAAGCGUCAAGACCUCCCGACCGUCAUUGCUGAUUUGAAACAAGAAAGGCAGACCCUCGCUAAUGAGGCCAUCCAUCUCCAUUGUAACAUGCCAUAAAUCCCAGGGUCGGCCGAUGACGAUCGGCGAGUGUUGGAUGCGGCCGACCAGGUUCGCCUGCGAGCAAUCGAGGCCAUAAACAACCUCCUUGGAUAGUUGUACUGAACUUAAACGGCCUUUGAAUAUGUUGUAUAACAUUGACACUUUUGACAUUUCUAUCUUGAAUGCGAAUCUGAACAGCUUUCUUCGCAGCCUUUUGACUCAACGGUCACUUGCUUUAAAUGCCCUCCUUUUACCAACCGUUGCCUGUCGUCAUCUUGUUCUAUAAAUACGAGUUCUUCGCAUCCCCUCCAAAGGCAUUCGCAUAGCACCCAUUAGACUCGCCCCCUCUAGACACUUCCAAGUCUUUGAUUAGGCAACCCAAAUGGCUUCCUUCUCUUUCGUUAAUCAGGUAUGAGGUUAACUCUUUCCCUCUUCGACUGAUUUUUCUAUCAAUUGAUCAUCUAUUAUCCUCACAGCCAAACCAGCUUAAUCCCGGUCUUGAACGAGCCAUUGAGAUCAUGCACUCCGACGAACUGCUUGUCGGUGUUUUAGACCGGCAACCCGCGUAGGGGGUACCCUAGGUGGUCUUUUAUGCUGUAAGGAUCGUCAAGAAUCAAGGAAUCAAUGGUAACGCAGGGAGCACGAUUUAGACAGGUUGGGGCCGCUAGAUCGCGUAAUACCCUACGUCCUGUGUGUUGGUUUGUAUUUGGUGAACUCGAGUUGUUGAGGGGGGUCCCUGCCCGCCCUUAUAUACAUGGGAGGGCAGGGUUACAAGUCUUGAGUCCUAGUCAGGUACUAUUACAGAGUUCUACUCGGUAAGGCCCGAGUAGUUUUCCAUAAAACAUACUUGACUAGUCCGAGUAGGAUACGCCUAUCCCUUGUUUUGAUUGUAUCCGAGUACGCCCCUGAGUGGGCCGUCCAAGGUCUACUCGUGGGCCUUGGGUGCAUGCCCGACAAGCCCCCGAGUACUUUGUAGUCAUGCGCCAGUCUUGGGUACUGCGGGCCCAAUCCGAGUAGCUAGUCGUAGAGUUUGUAGACCGAAGUGCUCGAGUACUAUCGCGUGGCUGGAAGGUACUCUUUUUGUUCCUUCGAGUUGCUUCUUGUUCCGAGAUUUUAUAUGGUAGUGCGAUGUCAAUCACACUCCAUAUGGAGUAGCCCUCGAGCCUUAGGUUGAGUCGAAGAGUCAGGCUUAGGGUCAAACCAGUCUUUUGUUUGUUUUACCCUCGACAGUCUUUAAAAAAGAAAAAACCGACCAACGGGUACGGUACCCGCAGCCCCCGAGCAGUUAGGCGAUCUCUAUCGUUGAAGUGGUCAGCAGUCCGUUGAAAAGAGUAGCCGUUGAGUGUUUAAGGCGAUUAAUCUGCAAUUAAUCUAUCCGUUGCGUAACCGACGCGUGGAAAACGGAGCUGGCGGAGAUAAAACUGGAGGGCCCCUUUCAGUUGUUUUUACGCCGCACGGUAAUCAGAUCUGAUUAUCUGCCUCCUCCGUCCUCCUGCUCCACAUUUGCACCACCGCCAGUGCCGCCGCCGCUAUUGCCGCCCUUUGAGAGAGAUCCGAGUGAGAGUGUCGUUCUAGCUUGAGGUUGAGUCCGUCGAAUGCGCACCAAGAAGAUGGGCAAGAAACCCGAGAAGAUCCAGGGCAAGGCUCCGGCGACGGGCAAGGCGAAAUCCAAGAAGGGGAAGGAGCUGGUGUUGCCGGCGCCGAAGGUGGGGCCGACGAACCAGACUGCGCCGCCGCCGCCGCCUGGGGCAACAUGGCAACAUUCGGUGAUGAAGGAGGAAGCCGUCCAAGCACUAGUCGAUGCAAAGCUCCUGCAGUCGAAGGAGAUUCUUGAGUGGCGUCCCGCAUUUCCAAAUGCGUGGCAAUUUGAGGAACAGCUAGGCGAGACAGUGAUGCUCGCACACUUUGUGGAGAGGGGGUUGGUGGUGCCCACCUCCGACUUCUUCAGAGGUAUCCUCGAGUACUACAAACUCCAACUUGUCCAUUUGAAGCCCAAUGGUGUACUGCAUAUGUCUAUUUUCGUACACCUUUGCGAAGUUUAUUUGGGAGUUCCUCUAAGCCUCAAGUUGUUUAGGAAGUUGUUUCGUUGUAAGCCUCAGCCGAGUGCCCAAAGGACAUAAGUCUUUGGGGGCGCCGGGUUCCAACUCAGGAACUCGGGCACAUACAUUGAGUACAACUUGACUGACUCCCAUGGUGAGUGGAAGAAGAGGUGGUUCUACAUUGGGAACCAUGAUCCUCGCUUGCCUGUGGUGACUGGUCACGCACCCAAGCACGCGGAAAAUUGGGUGAGUGAACCCGAGGACACCCCUGAGCUCGAUCUCCUAAUGCAGUAGAUCACUGAGUUGAAGGUACUCGGUCUGACUGGAAUCAAUGUGGCGGCCAGCUUCCUGAAGAGAAGGGUCCAGCCAUUUCAACAACGUGCUCACUCGGGAAGUGAGUAUGUAGGUCUUAAGGAUCCAUCGCGUAUGUCCGAUGAGGAUAUAUCCGAUGAUGACGUAGAGGCGUUGCUGGCCAAGUUCAUCAGGAACUAUCAGGGAGUACCAGUAAUCCCUGCGGCGCUUCAUCAGUAUAAUGCCUGGUAUGAGCUAGAAGUGGUAUGUCUUUUGCACCUGACUUGUUCUUUUUUGUCUUAUGUGAUAUUUGUUGUUAAUACCAACUUGUUGUUUGUAGUCUCGAGUUCUUGCCGGCUACUUGGCGCAAUCGGAAGAAGAAUCAGAUACUGUUGCUGAGGAGUCAGAGGAUGAACCCUCUCCUGCCAAGAAGCGCAGAGUAGUCCGCAAGAUGUCUGCGGCUAAGUCUGCUUCAACUCCUCAGAAGCCUCAGGGUACCAAGGUAUGUAGUCGUGAGCUUAUCUGUAGCCGAUAAAUUUGAACUUGCUAUUGUUAUGACUAAUUCAUCUUUGUCAUAAAGGCUGUUGACACGGCACUUGGUGGUAAUGAGGCUACUUCUGAAGAAGUAGUAGUAACCGAUUCGGACGUCGGUGAUGUAUCUGUUGAUAUGGUGCCAGAGAAGGUGCCAUCAACAGAAGUUGGAGUAACCCCUAAGCUACCGGCUCCAUCAGCUUCCAUACUACCCGUUGAUGAUUAAGCGGUGAUGGGGCUGCCUGCCGGAGGAGCGGGCGUUGCAAAGGAGGUGUCGUCGGUACUCGCUACUGGUAGUUUGUUGUCCAAUGUGAUCGCCAGUGGUAAGCAUUGUCCCUUCUAAAUGUAUUCAUUUGAGUUGUAUUGUAGUCAUGACUUCGGGUUCAUAGGCCUUGGCGAGAAGACAGCGCCGGCAGCUGUUCCCGCGGCGCCCAGUACUCGGCCGCCAGUCGCUGAGAAGAAACGUGUGCGGUUGCCACCACGUUCAACCCGGUGAGCUUUCUUGUCUGUUGGAAUGACUUUGAGUUAUCUUGAAAUCAUGUAAUGACGUAUUUUGGUGCAAAGAUGCAGAGGAAACUAUCCCUGUAGAAACAGGGGUAGAGCCGUAUCCCUCGGCUACAUUAUCUGCUCCUUUGGAGGAUUUAAUUGUUGAGGAGGUACCCAAAGUCGACGCCGGUCAUCUUGGGGCUACCAUGUCCAUGCUUCAAGAUGUUAUCCAUUCGGUGGAAGUACCUGCUGCUGCAUCGGGUUCUGAAGUGCCGCCUUACCAACAUCCACUAGCGGUUCGCUAACCAUAGUGGGUGUUGAAAAAACCAAAGAAGCGACUGCUCCAGGUAUGUUUCUGUAGUCUUUUUAUUGUAGUCAUAGCAGGUAGCUGACAUGAUAAAUGUUGUAGGUGCCACUCUGGGUACGAUUCCUCAUCUUGCGGAGAGUACCCAAAGACUCGUACUUAGCCUGCCCUCUGACUUGUAAUUUCAGAGGGUCAUCGAUGUUUUCCGGGGCUUCCAGGUAGAUUUCCUUGUUGUCGCAUGAACUGAGUAGUUGUGAAGCUUUUAACUCACCAUUUCAUACUCGGACCUUUUCAGGAACGAAGUCAUCAACUGGAGCAGGAAUGUGCCCGACUAACAGAAGCUCUGAGGGUUCACGAAGUCGGAGCGAAGUCUUUUGUCGUGGAACGUACGGAUCACGCGGUUCUGCAGCAAAAACUAGAGAGCCGCUACAAGUCGCUGAACAAGAAGUAUCAAGGUAAGUAUUUCGCCUACUCUAAGUAUGUCCAACUGUAGUCGGUUGUGGUUGAGCUUAUUGUCUUGUAGAGCUCAAAAAGCAAGAAGCGGCUGCAAGGAGCCAAGUUCUCGAUUGGAGAAAUGCGCAUGAUCGAGUGGCGGAUGAAGCUGAACAUCUUCGGGCCACGCUGACGGAGGCACAGGCUGCUUGCGAACAUCAGCGGGACCGAAAAAUGCAAAAUGGUGUUAUGCUUGCCAUGGCCAUGGUGGCAUGCAGAGAUCAUGCCCAGACCAUGGGAAGACUUCGGGGCGAACUCUAGGAGCUAACUGUAGCAGCUGAAGACUUGGUGAACGCCAUAGCCCCCGUGGAAGAAGGCGCAGGGCCGCAAUCACUAGUAGAGCAAUUGAAGGCUGCCCCAAGUAGAGUGGCGGGACUCUGCAAAACUAUUUGCAAACAGGUCCUUGCAAUUGUGAAGUCCUACUAUCCGAGGGCAGACUUGGCGGCAUCUGGUGAUGGCGUGGCUCGCAACUGCAUAGAAGAAGCAUAUGCGCAGUACCUCGAGGAGGCGGAGCCUAUUGCAGCGAAGAUGUCGGAGUUUGUCUCGUUAGAAGAACCUUGAGCUUUGUAUGUACUAUUGUAUUUGUGUCAAGUACUUUGAACGAUACUUUUGAUAAAUGAAUACUUGGCCAUUGGUCUUGUUGCUUGAAGUUUGUUGCCUAGCGAAGAGUAGCUUCACUCUAUCUUGUCCGACCCAAAGCCCCGGAGUCGGCUGGGCCUGACCCUCUAGGGGAGGAGCUCCGCCUCGCCCGACCCUGAGUCCUGGGGUCGGCUAAGCCUGACCCCUUCGAGGGUGGAAACUUCGCUUCGCCUGACCCUGAAUCCUGGGGUCGGCUAAGCCUGACCCCUUCGAGCAGAGGAUCGGGGUAAUCCAAGCCCCCCGAGAUAAUGGAGUGAGCGUAGGCCACGCUUGGCUUUUAGUAGUCCCGAGUGUUGAGUAGUCGUAAUGCUAUCGAGUACUCGUCUUUUGAGGGACACGGGUGUACUGUACUCCUUUGUCCUUUUUGGAUGCACAGGAGUACUGUAUUCUUUUGUCCUUUGUGGCAUAAGUACCGUCAUGUGGGCAGAGUCAGGAGUUGUCAGACUCAUUGAUCAUGAGUGCAUAGUAACUCUAGGGUAGGUGGUAGUUGCAGCUUUCGACUAUGAAUAGAGCCAUCUGGAGAGCGAAUCAAAUCAAGUUCCUGAUCAGCGAUGGAUUGCCUUAGGUUGCUUCUAUUUGAGUGUAGAGAGCCGUCAAAGAGUGCACCGGUGCUAGAAGAUUCCUCUUAGAUUGAGGCCACCUUCCCUCCACAGACUCCUGCGCUCGUAGGGAUAGCCAUGAUGCUAGAAGAAUCCUCGUAGGAGGCUUCGUCGCACGCCUCAUCUUGCAGCUCGUGAUCCAGUGGAGUACGCGCUGGAACUCGCGGGUGAUGGGUGAUGAGUGCCGUGGUCUUUAUCCCGCUCUCUGAGAGGUGGAGGUGUGGCCGUAGAUUGGAUUCGUGUUGGAGAUAUGCCCUAGAGGCAAUCAUAGAGAUGAUGAUAUUCCAUUUGUAUCCAUGAUUUGUAUAUUGUGUUCAUUGAAUAUCCAUUAAAGGCUACUUGAAUUGAUUUGCAAUUAUGUGAAUUGUAUGUGAAACUCUUUACUUGUAUGGUUAUUCUAAAGUUGUCCCUAGUCGGAGUUCAUGUGAGGACACACAUGAAUAUUAGACUAGCACAUGUAUUAGUUGAUGACUAUGUUUCACAAGUCAUGGACAUGGAGAUGUUAAACUAAUAAUGUGGACACAUGUGGAGACAUGUGCUAGGACUGACCCAACACGAGAAGUAGUUCUCUCUUUAAACAACAUAUACGCUUUGUCCUUAGACCUGAGAUUGUCGCAUGUAUUCUAGAUGUGGAUCGACCUACUUAGGGGCUAUCAAACGCUACGCCGUCACAGGGUAGUUAUAAAGGUAGCUUUCGGGUUUGUCAAGAAGCAUGCUAUGAGACAUGGUCAAUCAAGAUGGGAUUUUCCCCUCUCUGAUUGAGAGUGAUAUCUCUGGGCCCCUCGAGUGAUCGGAUCCGAAGAUGCAUGGUCAUGCUACGUACGGUUAAGAGUUAACCUACAAAGGGAUUCCGAAUCACAGGAUCGAGAAAGAGCGGUCGGCUUGAAGCUAGACCAAAUAUCGUGAGGCAAAGGGAAUAGCAUGUAUAUUAUGUUGUGAUGGUUCGUCUGAUAUGAUCUUCGUGUGCGUAUAGGAGUUGGCACGUCUUGCUAGAGGCCGCUACCGACUAUUGGGCCGAGUAGGAGUACUCGGGCCAUGUCUAUACGUAUCCGAACCCAUAGGGUCACACACUUAAGGGGUUGGAAGCCCAAUUCGGAUCUGAUCCGAGUUGGAUUAGGUUUAGAAGUACUAAUGGGCCUCGGACCCAGAGGCCCGUUAGGAACCUCUAUAAAUAGAGGGGUGGGGGCGCCCUAGGGUUCACACCUUUUUGGCGAAACACACCUGCCGCGCCUCCCACGCCCUCGCCUGUUGCAACUCACGGAUCUAGCAGUCCGGCCUGCGACGCUUCCUCCCUGCACGUGUGGAUACCUUGGAGGUGUUGCGCCUGCAGCACUUGGAUGAGCCGCCGACGAGCCGUUGACGAGCCACGACGAGCCGCGGCACCGGGGGCGAUCUUGUUGCACGUGGACGAGCUGCUGAGGAGCUGCUGGACGUUGACGUGAUCGACUACGUACGACUACGUGAUCGUCUUCACUGCAUCGACGCAUAUCUAAAUCUUCCGCACCAGUAGUGCGUCGAGUGGUAAUCCCGUGAUCCUUAUAUGGCAGUUCUUCCUGGUUUUACGCGGUAGAAAAUUUUGAUUUACGCUAGUGUAGCCUACCUCGUAUCCCAACAGUGGUAUCAGAGCCGUAGCUGCUUAGUUUUGGAUUCGGGAUGUGUGCAUAUGGAGAUAUGCGAGUUUUCCGUUUGAUCUAUGUCCUGUUUUCGUGCCCUUGCUGCAAUGGUAGUGUAACGUCAUACUCCUACCGGUCGGUUUCCGCCAUCGGAGUUAAGUGAUACACGUAAAUCCAGUUGCAGUGAGCGAAGAUCAAUAUGAUUGGUCGAAUCAAAAUCCAGGGUCAUACGCCAGGCGCAUUAGAUCUGCAAUAGUAGAUAAGAUCUACUGCCGGGGUCGGGAUUUUUUCCGUAUGCGUAUGCUUCGGUAAAUCAGCCGUAACUUUUCGGUACGAUCUCGGAUCAGGGCGAAUUUUAUAUGAAAAUUGAUCUACAGAAAAAGUUACACAUGAAAUUCAAUAGUGUUUCUGUUUUCGGCGAAAUUAGAUUUCCCAAAUUCGGCUUGGAAGAUGGAGUUUCGGGCAUCCGAAGUUUGGAACGUUAGGACGCCUAACUCUGUUUUGCAGGAUGUAUGUUUGUAUCUUGUGAUCAGUAUGGCCCCCUUGUGUAUGUGAUGCAUGUGUGUAACUCAUUCGUGACCUGCGUGUCGCGCGUACGGCAACACGGCAGGAGCCAUAUGUGUUGUCACUUUAUUGUAUUUAAUGGUCUGCGUACCAAUCUGUGAUGAUCCAAGCAACUAUGUAAUCUUCAUUACUAGCUUCUUUACUAGCUAUUAGGCGUAAUAGCAUGUUCUAGUUCUUGGAGGACUCAUCACCAGGAGGAUGGCGCACAUGGAACAUGGAGAUGGAGAUCACCAUGGUGAACAGCUUCUAUGGAGAUGGAGAUCACCAUAAGAAAAACGGGCCAUACUGUGUCACAACUGUGUGAAUGCUAUUCUGUUUAUGUUUUACUUUCUGCAUGCUGUGAUGUUAGAAGUAGAACGAUCCCUCACAAAGUUUAAGUUAGUAUGCCCUCCCAACUAAAACUUGCACCGUCCCAUGUCUUGUACAAUUAGUGGUGGGUCUAUGAAAUUAGGGUGCCACUAGUUUUCCUUGACUAGACGGGUUUGUGUCGGACACUUACACGCAUAAGGGUUGGUUUGCUUAACAAAGUUAUCUUAACGGUUAAGGACCUUGGGGCAUAAAGGUUGGGCGCCGAGGCAUAGAGAUGUUACCCAACAACAGGAGUCAUAUGUGAUAUGAUUAGCAAAAGUUGCUUACCGAUCUACCUUGUUUGCUAGCGGUGAUGCUAAAGCUCACUAGUGGCCUUGUUAGUUGUGGAUCCUGAAUCACUAAGUUUCAAUAGAGGGAUAUUGAUUUUAGUGGGAGUAGAUUCUGUUAAAAUAGUUUAAUGUGAUUUGCUCUAUCAUGGAUACGUUUGUCUUAGUGUAUUUUGCAUUACUUUGUUGUAGAUUAAAUGGCACCUAGCAGCACUACACCGUUUGCUUUGCGUUCGGUCCUUGAGAAGGACAAGUUGAAUGGAACAAAUUACUCAGAUUGGAUCCGUAACCUGAGAAUUGUUCUCAGGGCUGAGAAAAAGGAAGAUGUUCUAGACAACCCACUACCAGAAGAACCUGCUGAUGAUGCAUCCGCUGCUGCUAAGAAUGCUUAUAAGAAAGCAUGUGAUGCUAACCUCGAAGUAAGCUGCCUUAUGCUUGCUUGCAUGGAACCCGAGCUGCAGAUGCAGUUCGAAACAAACCAUGAGGCGCACGAUAUGAUCGUGGCGCUUAGAGACAUGUUCCAAACACAGGCCAGGACUGAAAGGUUCAAUGUGUCUAAGGCCUUUGUUGAGAGCAAGCUAGCAGAAGCCACAGCAGUAGGACCACACGUAAUCAAGAUGGUUGGUUACACUCAAUGGUUGGAGAAGCUGGGCUUCCCACUGGGCCAAGAGUUGGCCACUGAUAUCAUUCUUUCGUCUCUUCCGCCUAGCUAUGGGAACUUCAUCUCGAACUACCAUAUGCAUGGGACGGAGAAGGGUUUGAAUGAGCUGUGUGGCAUGCUUAAAACAGCAGAGGCUGACAUCAAGAAAAGCGCUAGUACCAGCCAUGUGAUGGCUAUACAGAACAAGCCUAGCUUUAAGAAGAAGGGCAAUUCUUGGAAGAAGAAGGGCAAGGCUGAAACGUCCAAGCCAAACCCACCACCCAAGGUUAAAGCUGGACCUGGACCUGCUCCAGACAAAGAGUGCUUUUACUUUCAUGAACUUGGUCACUGGAAGAGAAACUGCAAGCAGUACCUAGCUUCCUUGAAGAAUGGUGGAAGUAAGAGUACUUCUACCUCAGGUACGCUUGUUGUUAAUGUUAUAGACAACAUUUUUCUCGCUGAUACAAUUAUUAAUUCUUGGGUAUUUGAUACCGGAUCGGUUGCUCAUAUUUGCAAUUCGAUGCAGGGAAUGAUAAGAAGUAGAAGCGUGGAAAGAGGAGAAGUUGAUUUCCGCGUGGGCAAUAAUGCAAGAGUUGCUGCGUUGACCGUCGGGACGAUGCAACUCCACCUCCCGUCAGGAUUUAUUAUGGAGUUGAAUAAUUGUUAUUUCGUUCCUAGUUUAAGUCGAAACAUUUUGUCUCCUUCAUGCUUGAUGAAGGAUGGUUAUUCAUUUGCGAGUGAAAACAAUGGUUGUGUGAUCUCUAAGAAUAAUAUGUUUAUGGCUUUUGCACCCAUUGUGAAUGGAUUAUUUGUUUUAAAUCUUGAUGGUUCACCUGUCUGUAACGUAAGUGCUAAAAGGCCUCGGCCUAAUGAUUUGAGUUCUACCUACUUGUGGCAUUGUUGUUUGGGUCAUAUAAGUGAAAAGCGCAUGAAGAAGCUCCAUUCUGAUGGACUUCUAACUUCGUUUGAUUUUGAAUCAUACGAGACAUGUGAGGCUUGCUUGCUAGGCAAGAUGACCAAGACGCCUUUCACAGGAUUUCCUGAGAGAGCACUAGACUUGUUGGAACUCGUACAUAGUGAUGUAUGCGGACCAAUGAGCACGACGGCUAGAGGAGGAUUCCAAUACUUCAUAACUUUCACUGAUGAUUUUAGUAGAUAUGGCUAUGUCUACUUGAUGAGGCACAAGUCUGAAACCUUUGAAAAGUUCAAGGAAUUUCAUAAUGAAGUUGAAAAUCAGCGUGGCAAGAAAAUUAAGGCCUUACGAUCUGAUCGUGGAGGCAAGUAUUUGAGCCACGAGUUUAGCAAUCAUCUAAAGAGUUGCGGAAUUGUUCCACAACUUACGCCGCCUGGAACACCUCAGAGAAACGGUGUGUCCGAGCGACGUAAUCGAACUUUGUUAGACAUGGUUUGAUCAAUGAUGAGCCAGUCGGACCUACCGUUGUCAUUUUGGGGAUACGCUCUAGAAACAGCAGCUUUCACACUUAAUAGGGUACCAUCUAAAUCCGUAGUUAAGACACCAUAUGAGAUAUGGACUGGAAAGGUUCCUAGUUUGUCUUUUCUAAAGAUUUGGGGAUGUGAAGUCUUCGUCAAGCGACUUCAGUCGGACAAGAUCACACCCAAGUCGGAUAAGUGCAUUUUCGUGGGAUAUCCAAAGGAAACUUUGGGAUAUUAUUUCUACAACCGAUCAGAAGGCAAAGUGUUUGUCGCUCGGAACGGGGUUUUCCUAGAGAAAGAGUUUCUCAAAGGAGAAAAGAGUGGAAAGACAGUGCAUCUUGAAGAAGUUCAGGAUGAGCCGAUCGGGCAAGAAUCAAUGAGUGAUGCUAACGUAGCAGAACAAGUUGAGAUACCCAUGGCAAGAGAGGCACCGCCACAACCACGAAGGUCAGCAAGGCUCCGCGAAAUGCGGGAAAUAUUAUUGUUGGACAAUGAUGAGCCUGCGACCUAUGCAGAAGCAAUGAUGGACCCAGACUCCGAAAAAUGGCAGAGUGCCAUGCAAUCCGAAAUAGAGUCCAUGGGAGACAAUCAAGUUUGGAACUUGGUUGACCCGCCUGAUGGUGUUAAAGCCAUAGAGUGCAAGUGGAUCUAUAAGAAGAAAAAGGACACGGAUGGAAAUGUUCACAUCUAUAAAGCACGACUUGUUGCAAAAGGUUUUCGACAAGUUCAAGGAGUUGACUACGACGAGACCUUCUCGCCCGUAGUGAUGCUUAAGUCCAUUCGGAUUAUUCUAACUAUAGCUGCAUAUUUCGAUUAUGAGAUAUGGCAGAUGGAUGUCAAGACAGCUUUCCUGAAUGGAAACCUAGCUGAGGACGUGUAUAUGAUACAGCCCGAGGGUUUUGUCGAUCCAAAAAAUGCUGGAAAGGUAUGCAAGCUUCAGAGAUCCAUUUAUGGAUUGAAGCAAGCAUCUAGGAGUUGGAACAUUCGUUUUGAUGAAGUAGUCAAAGGGUUUGACUUCACCAAGAACGAAGAAGAGUCUUGUGUUUACAAGAAGGUUAGUGGGAGCUCUGUAGUAUUUCUAAUCUUAUAUGUGGAUGACAUAUUACUGAUUGGAAAUAACAUUCCUAUGCUUGAGUCCGUAAAGACUUCACUGAAAAAUAGUUUUUCGAUGAAGGACUUAGGGGAAGCGGCAUAUAUUCUGGGUAUUAAGAUCUAUAGAGAUAGAUCGAGAAGGCUUAUAGGUUUAAGCCAAGAUACUUCCAUUGACAAAGUGUUGAAGCGGUUCAGCAUGGAAGAGGCAAAGAAAGGGUUCUUGCCUAUGUCACAUGGCAUACAUCUCAGCAAGACUCAGUGUCUUUCGACUGCUGAUGAGUGGGAUCGCAUGAGUAGAGUGCCAUAUGCCUCGGCUAUUGGAUCUAUCAUGUAUGCAAUGAUAAGUACUCGCCCAGAUGUUUCAUAUGCGCUAAGUAUGACAAGCAGACACCAAUCUGAUCCAGGUGAGAGUCACUGGACAGCGGUGAAAAACAUUCUUAAGUACUUGAGAAGGACUAAAGAUAUGUUCCUCGUCUAUGGAGGUGAGGAGGAGCUCGUUGUAACAGGUUACACCGAUGCUAGUUUCCAAACCGACAGAGAUGAUUCAAAGUCACAAUCAAGAUUUGUGUUCACGCUGAAUGGUGGUGCUGUUAGUUGGAAGAGUUCCAAGCAGGAGACGGUGGCCGAUUCUACGACAGAAGCCGAGUACAUCACGGCUUCGGAAGCCGCAAAGGAAGGUGUUUGGAUAAGGAAUUUCCUCAUUGAGCUUGGUGUGUUCCCGAAUGCGUCCAGCCUAUUGAAUCUCUACUGUGAUAACAAUGGGGCAAUUGCGCAAGCAAAGGAGCCAAAGAACCACCAGAAGAACAAACACGUAAUGCGGCAAUUUCAUCUCAUUCGAGACUUCGUUAACCGGGGUGAGAUCAAGAUAUGCAAAAUACACACGGAUCUGAACAUUUCUGAUCCGUUGACAAAACCACUCCCGCAGGCUAAGCAUGAUGCGCAUGUAAGAGCUAUGGGUAUUAGGUACCUCCUAGAUUAACUCUAGUGCAAGUGGGAGACUGUUGGAGGUAUGCCCUAGAGGCAAUCAUAGAGAUGAUGAUAUUCCAUUUGUAUCCAUGAUUUGUAUAUUGUGUUCAUUGAAUAUCCAUUAAAGGCUACUUGAAUUGAUUUGCAAUUAUGUGAAUUGUAUGUGAAACUCUUUACUUGUAUGGUUAUUCUAAAUUUGUCCCUAGUCGGAGUUCAUGUGAGGACACACAUGAAUAUUAGACUAGCACAUGUAUUAGUUGAUGACUAUGUUUCACAAGUCAUGGACAUGGAGAUGUUAAACUAAUAAUGUGGACACAUGUGGAGACAUGUGCUAGGACUGACCCAACACGAGAAGUAGUUCUCUCUUUAAACAACAUAUACGCUUUGUCCUUAGACCUGAGAUUGUCGCAUAUAUUAUAGAUGUGGAUCGACCUACUUAGGGGCUAUCAAACGCUACGCCGUAACAGGGUAGUUAUAAAGGUAGCUUUCGGGUUUGUCAAGAAGCAUGCUAUGAGACAUGGUCAAUCAAGAUGGGAUUUGCCCCUCUCUGAUUGAGAGUGAUAUCUCUGGGCCCCUCGAGUGAUCGGAUCCGAAGAUGCAUGGCCAUGCUACGUACGGUUAAGAGUUAACCUACAAAGGGAUUCCGAAUCACAGGAUCGAGAAAGAGCGGUCGGCUUGAAGCUAGACCAAAUAUCGUGAGGCAAAGGGAAUAGCAUGUAUAUUAUGUUGUGAUGGUUCGUCUGAUAUGAUCUUCGUGUGCGUAUAGGAGGUCGCACGUCUUGCUAGAGGCCGCUACCGACUAUUGGGCCGAGUAGGAGUACUCGGGCCAUGUCUAUACGUAUCCGAACCCAUAGGGUCACACACUUAAGGGGUUGGAAGCCCAAUUCGGAUCUGAUCCGAGUUGGAUUAGGUUUAGAAGUACUAAUGGGCCUUGGACCCAGAGGCCCGUUAGGAACCUCUACAAAUAGAGGGGUGGGGGCGCCCUAGGGUUCACACCUUUUUGGCGAAACACACCUGCCGCGCCUCCCACGCCCUCGCCUGUUGCAACUCGCGGAUCUAGCAGUCUGGCUUGCGACGCUUCCUCCCUGCACGUGUGGAUACCUUGGAGGUGUUGCGCCUGCGGCACUUGGACGAGCCGCCGACGAGCCGCUGACGAGCCACGACGAGCCGACGACGAGCCGCAGCACCGGGGGCAAUCUUGUUGCACGUGGACGAGCUGCUGAGGAGCUGCUAGACGUUGACGUGAUCGACUACGUACGACUACGUUGAUCGACUAUGUACGACUACGUGAUCGUCUUCACUGCAUCGACGCAUAUCUACAUCUUCCGCACCAGUAGGGCGUCGAGUGGUAAUCCUGUGAUCCUUAUACGGCAGUUCUUCCUGGUUUUAUGCGGUAGAAAAUUUUGAUUUACGCUAGUGUAGCCUACCUCGUAUCCCAACAAUUGGCUCCACAAGGCUAGCAAAAGAGCAGCCUUGGUUCCCUCUAGGCGCGUCGUGCCGGAUUCAUCGUUGCCGAUGUCAAGGCAGUGGCAAUGCUGGAGUUCCUGACGUUGCCUUGGGUAGAGGACCUGGAUAUGGCUGCGUUUUGCGCAGCUUCCUUGCGUGUGGGCCCCUCCCAUUGUAGUCGGCAGACCUGAGUGGCCUUGUGAUAUAGUUGGCCUGAGGCUUAAAUGCAGCCCGCCAGUAGGCAGUUGCUUGUAGUCUUCGUGUAUUCCGAGUACUUAUACUCGUAUGUAACCUGAUGUAUCCUUGUUUCAAUAAAGAAAUAUUUUUAUGGAGAUUUUGUACCAGGGCAGUGACCCUUGUUGAGUUGAUAACUCUUGUCAAAGCUGAGGUAUUUUGAAGUCGGUAGUCGGGAAGUUAGCCCGAGUAGUAAUCAUGAGUGCCUUGGAGCGAUUACUCGGAUGCCACUAUGGAUAAUAGCGACAGAGUUGUUUUAUAUUCCAGGAGUUUGGUACUUGUUCUCCUGAGAGCUCUUGGAGUCUGUAAGAUCCAGGUCCCGUAACCUUUGAUACGAUGUAAGGACCUUCCCAUGGUGAAUUGAGUUUAUGCAACCCUGACGUGUCUUGGAUACGCUUAAGGACCAUAUCGCCCAAGUUGAAAGAUCUUUCCUUGACGUUGCGGUCGUGGUAAUGCCUUAAACCAUCAAGGUAUCUAGCGGAUUGCACUAGUACUGCGCAUCUUGUUUCUUCUAAACUGUCUAUAUCUGUUCGUCUUGUUUCUGUCGCCAGUUCUUCGUCGUAGUGCUCAACGGAUGGUGAUUGCCACAUGAUGUCAACGGGUAGUAUGGCUUCCGAACCGUAUACCAGGAAAUAGGGUGAUAGCCCCGUAGUCUUGCACGGUUGGGUAUGGAGGCCCCACAGAGCAUUGGGUAACUCUUUGAGCCAUUUGCCACCUUUGGUGUUGCCAACGUCAUGUAGUCUUUUCUUCAGGGUGUCUAGUAUCAUGCCAUUAGCACGCUCAACUUGUCCAUUGGCUUGCGAGUGAGCGACCGAGAUGUAGCGGACGUCGAUGCCGCUAUUCUCGCAAUAUUCCCAAAAGUCGUGAUUGUUGAAGUUUCACCCUAGGUCUGUGAUAAUCCUGUUUGGAAAACCGUAGCGGUGUAUGAUUUCGUCCAGGAAGUCGAGGACCCAGUCUGCCUUGGGGCAAGUGACUGGUUUGACCUCGAUCCACUUGGUGAAUUUGUCGAUUGCCACGAGUACUCGGUUGAAUCCUCCUGGCGCAGUUGGUAACGGCCCUAUCAUGUCGAGCCCCCAGCAGGCAAACGGCCAUGUUGGAGGUAUUGUGACUAGCUUGUAAGCCAGUACAUGUUGUUGUUUUGUGAAGAAUUGACAACCGUUGCAUUUUUGAACUAGUUGUUUAGCGUCGACCAGAGCCAUUGGCCAGUAGAUUCCUCCUCUGAAAGCCUUGCCAACUAGUGUCCUCGAGGAGACAUGGUUGCCACAGAUUCCUCUAUGAAUUUCCUCUAGGAUUUCUUGGCCAUCUUCUCUGGUGACGCACUUCAUGAGUACUCCAGACGAUGCACCUUUCCUGUAGAGCUUGCCUCCGACUAGAACGUAAUUUUUUACUCGCCGGGAGAUUUGCUCAGCUUUACUUUUGUCGGAUGGUAAUUGGUGAUCUUUGAUGUAGUCGAUGAAGGGUGCCCUCCAAUCGACUUCUAUCAUCAUGAUUUCACGAGAGACGUCAGCAGUUGGAAUUGCUGGCGGUGUGACUUGGUCGGAUAUGGACAGUUUGCGCAGUUCGUGUACGAAAAUUCCUGCUGGAACCUCUGCGCGAGUGGAGCCCAUUUUAGAUAGGACGUCGGCAGCAAUGUUGUUGUCGCGGAUGAUGUGAUGAAAUUCCAAGCUUGAGAACUUGUUCUCCAGUUUGCGGACUUCUUUGCAAUAAGCGUCCAUGUUGUCCUUGUUCCGGUCCCACUCGUCAUUGACCUGGUUUAUAACAACUAGAGAGUCGCCAUACACCAGUAGUCGUUUGAUGCCGAGGGAGAUUGCAAGGCGAAGGCCGUGUAGCAGUGCUUCAUACUCGGCUUCGUUAUUAGAUGCUUUCCAGAAUAUUUGCAGCACGUACUUGAGUUGGUCUCCCCUGGGGGAGAUGAGCAAUACGCUUGCGCCAGCUCCUUCAAGUUUGAGGGAUCCGUCAAAGUACAUUACCCAAUGUUCUGGUCGUUCGACUGGUGUUGGAACUUGAUUUUCAGUCCAUUCAGCUAUGAAGUCGACCAAAGCUUGAGAUUUGAUGGCUGUCCUUUGCUUGAAGUCCAAGGUGAGAGCUCCGAGUUCAAUUGCCCAUUUGGAGAUUUUGCCCGUGGCAUCUCUGUUGUGGAGAAUUUCGCCGAGCGGGAAGUCGGAGAUGACUGUGAUGUUGUGCUCUUGGAAAUAAUGGCGCAGUUUCCGGGAGGUGAGCAGAAUUGCGUAUAAGAGCUUUUGUAUCGGUGAAUACCGAGUUUUGGAGUCCAAGAGUACUUCGCUGAUGUAGUAGACAGGUCGUUGGACCUUGUAAGUGUGGCCUGGUUCAGACCGUUCAACUACAAUUGUCGUGCUGACGACAUGAGUAGUAGCUGAGAUGUAUAGGAGCAAGUCUUCGUUCGGAGAAGGAGCGGUGAGUACAGGAGGCUUUGACAGGAAGUCUUUGAGCUGUGCUAGUGCCUCAGCUGCCUCUUCCAUCCAUUUGAACUUGUCCUGACGUUUGAGAAGCUUGAAGAAGGGUAGUCCCCGUUCUCCAAGUCUCGAGAUGAACCGGUUGAGAGCGGCCAUGCAGCCUGUGAGUUUCUGCACAUCCUUAAUGCUAGCUGGUGCCUGCAUGUUUGUGAUGGUAGAUAUUUUUUCCAGGUUGGCCUCGAUGCCGCGAUGGCUAAUGAUGAACCCGAGUAGUUUGCCGGAAGGUACUCCAAAGACGUACUUAGUAGGAUUGAGUUUCCAUCGAAAAUCGCGUAGACUAGAGAAAGUUUCCUCCAAGUCCGUAAUGAGUUCCUCCCGGUUUCUUGUUUUGACGACUACGUCGUCAACAUAAGCUUCAACAUUGCGGUGAAGUUGCUUUUCGAAGCACAUCUGUAUGGCCCUUUGAUAAUUUGCCCAUGCAUUUUUUAGUCCGAAGGACAUUGUUUUGUAGCAGAAAGCUCCGAAAGGUGUGAUGAACGUUGUUUUGGCUUGAUCUUCCUCUUUGAGGCUUAUCUGAUGAUAGCCAGAGUAGCGGUCGAGAAAACAUAGUAAAGCGCACCCAGCGGUGGAGUCGACCACUUGAUCGAUCCUGGGUAGCCCGAAAGGGUCUUUUGGGCAGUGUUUGUUGAGGUCGGUGUAGUCAACACACAUUCUCCACUCGUUGUUUUUCUUACGAACGAGCACAGGAUUGGCGAGCCAGUCAAGAUGAAAAACUUCCUUGAUAAACCCUACCGCGAGUAGCUUGGCUAACUCUUUUUUGAUUGCUUCUCGUCUGUCUUGAGCGAACUGGCGUAGUCGUUGUCGUUUUGGAGUAUCUUUGGGAUCGACAUUGAGAGAAUGCUCGAUCAGCUCCUUGGGCACACCUGGUAUGUCAGCCGGUUUCCAAGCGAAGAUAUCGUGGUUAGCCCGAAGGAAGCUGACGAGCGCGAAUUCCUAUUUAGGAUCUAGCCCUGUUCCGAUCAGUGCUGUCUUGGAAGGGUCGCCCAUCUGGAGGUCAACUGACUUGAAGUCGUGCUCGCUGGCAGGUUUCACCUUUGUGGACCUCAACUUGUUUUCGGGGAUCUCUAAUUCGUUUGGAUGGAGCUUCUUUGAAGCUAUGAAGACUUGUUGCAUGGGACUAGGUGCUUGAGUAGUCGCAGCAAUUUCCACGACUUCGGUGUCACAUUCGUAGGAUCGCCGUAGAUCUCCUCGCAGCAUGAGUUCUCCCUUGGGGCCUGGCAUUUUGAGUACCAGGUAAACAUAAUGUGGUAUGGCCAUGAACUUGGCGAGUGCCGGCCUUCCGGGUAUAGCAUGGUAAGAUGUCUCGAAGUCGGCGACCUCGAAUCUGAUGUACUCUGUACGGUAAUGUUCCUUAGUUCCGAAGGUGACUGGAAGGACAACUUGUCCUAGUGGUAUAGCCGCGUUACAAGGGAUGAUGCCAUAGAAGGGUGAAUCUGUUGGAGUAAGCAUUUCAGUAACGUCGAGGCACAUCUUCCUUAAUGUCUUGGCGAAAAUAACAUUGAGUCCGCUUCCGCCGUCGAUGAGUACUUUGGUUAACAUUGAGCCUGCCACAACCAGAUCCAGGACUAGUGGGAAACGGCCUGGUUCCGAGAAUUUGGUCCAUUGAUCUUUUCUGCUGAAAGAAAUUGGAACUUCUGACCAUUUUAACGGUGUAGGAUCCGUUGGUUCGAUGGCCAUGAUCUCCCUGAGUAUGAGUUUGUUGGCUCGCUUAGAUGCGGUGCCUGGGAUACCGCCGAAAAUGACGUUGACGGUUUUUGAGUCUGUCUGGAAGUCGCCUUCUUCGUCUUCGUCAUUGCAGGCUUUGUUCUUACCCUUAUCUCUUUUCUUGGUGUACUCUUCAGGAGGUGGUGGUGCGGGUAAGUCUUGCAUGACUCGGCGCAUGCUGUAGCAGUCUAUCGCCGAGUGCUUGCUAGUCGGGUGCCAUGGACACUGCUUUUUGAGUAGUUCAAUGAAAGUUGGCCCUUCAUCAUUUCUGCGGGGUUCCUUUUUCCCGAAGUUGGUCAUGGCGGCAAUAGUGUUGUUGGGCUUCCUUUUGCGAUUGUGAUUACUCGAAUAAUUGUUUCGAGCAUCAUUAUGCCGGGUUCUAUCUGGGUCAUUGUUGUGGUUGUUGUCGCGUCCACGGUUACGAUGGGAGCCGAACCAUUCUCGCUCUUUGUCUUCUUCAUCCGCCCACUGUUGCACCAUGACUUUGAGUUCUUUGACAUCAACUGGUCGUCGGUGACUGAAGUCUUGGUAUGUUCGUUGAUAGUAGAGUCUAUUUUGGAAGCACUCAAUGACGUCUAUUUCGGAGAUGUCAACUAUGGUAGCCUUCUUUUCGAAGAAUCGUCGCAGAUAGUCGCGUAGGGUCUCGCCUUAUUUUUGCUUAAUUUGACUUAAGUCGAUCUUGUUGCCUGGUCUAGCCAUGGAGCCGGUGAAGUUGUUGGUGAAAGCCUUUGUCAAGUCUGCCCAGGAGUCAAUGGACUUGGGUUUGAGUGACUCAAGCCAGGUCAGUGGUGCGGGUUCCAUGCAUAUGGGGAAGUGGAUAACUUUGGUGUCGUUAUUGCCCCCGGCUGCUUGGACGGCUAGCGAGUAGCAUCGUAGCCAUUGGAUUAGGUCUUGUUUGCCAUCGUACUUGGUGAUUCCGGCUGGCUUGAACUUUUCGGGUAAUUUUGUUUUCAUUACCCGAUUUGUGAAAGCGGGAAAAUGGUUGUAGUUGUCAACUUCUCGUUCGCGCCGACUGUUGAGAAUUUCUCGCAGAUCACUAAAGUUGGACACUUCGUGGUUCUUCCGAGUAGGGCGGAUGCUUUUAACUGAGUUGAUGCAGCUGACCUCACCAACAUCCUUAUGUCGAGCAGGGGCCUUAUGCUUGCUUGGACCUUGGCUGUGUUGCCGAGGUUGGUUGACUGCAUUGCCGUUUCUUGGGGCGGUGUUAAUAUCUGCAGCUCCCCUGCUACCUUCUUAAUGAGCUGUGAUGCGAGGAACAGAUGGGAUUGGUGAUUCUUUGUCGAGUAACUUGUAAGCUUGCUCCGUGAGUUGUGCGAUCAGUCCGUUGCCGCGCUGCACGAGUUGAGCUGUGGCUUCGUUAUCCUUAUCCUGAGGCAUCAAUGUUGUUAAAAGGUUGAUUGAGGCGAUAGCCGCGAGUGGAGUAUUGUGCUCCUGAGCCUGGACUGCGUUGAAAGCCCUUUCAAGACUUGUAAUGGGAAUAUUUGUAGCCAUCGACUGUCAUCGCUCGGCUCGAGUAGCGUUGCGCGUCCUUCUUUAGUUGCGCUGCUCGGAGGUUUCAUCGUGAGGGGCGUCAGCUGUAGACUCAUCUUCGGAGAUGUUGUCGAUUUGUGCUAAUCGCCUGGGGGUUCUGUUCUGGCUAGUACCCGAGUUGUUAUUCUGAGUAAUAACAAUUAUCUCCCUGUCCGGGUAGUAGCUCUCGGAGCUUGAUGUUGCAAUUUCUGUGGAACUUUCCUCGUGGUUAGAAGUGAGUGGAACACCUUCUUGAUAUGGGAGGUUGUCUAUAUGGGCGACAAGGCGCGAUUCGUAGCCACGGUCAAGGAAAGACGGUCGCAAUCCCGGCCAGUGGACGAAUCUGCCAUGUGAUGUUGAAGUUAUUACCAAUCCUUGGGCUGGACCAGAUAAUGGUGUCUCUAGCGAAUAGGACGAGUCGGAGUCGACAUCUUCAUCAUGCCCGAGUUCGAAUCGGGUUCGAGUAAGAAAGCCUUGGUGAACUUUGGUUGUGUUGCGGAGUCCGUGCGGUAACCGCUCUGAAGUCAAAACCGACUCGAGCACUGGCUGGAACCGACUAAUCCGAGGCGAGUCCGACUCCAAGUUUCGGGGUCAGUUGAGCCCGACCCUUUGGGGGGUGAACUCCGCCUCGCCCGACCCUGAGCCCUGCGGUCGGGUGUGCCUGACCUUUGAGCAGAGGGUUGGAGUAGUCUGAGGCGAAGUCGAGUCCGACGCGUAGUCAAACUCGAAUUCGUCGAUUUUGAAAUCUUGAUCUUUUCCGAUCAGGUUUUUUGGUUUCUUCUCCUGAGCGUCGACGAUCUGGCGCUGAAACGAACCCGAGCCAUCGGCGAUGCAAAGCCAAGAUCCGAAAACGAAGGUGGCGCCGGCUUCGAUGAAGAAGACGGGCCUGAUGAUGAUCUUUGCCAUUGAGUUCGCGCUGAGAAACUCGACGAGUGCCCCUACUUGGCGCGCCAGCUGUCAGUGUUUUAGACCGACAACCCACCUAGGGGGUACCCUAGGUGGUCUUUUAUGCGGUAAGGAUCGUCGAGAAUCAAGGAAUCAAUGGUGACGCAGGGAACACGAUUUAGACAGGUUCGGGCCGCUAGAUCGCGUAAUACCCUACAUCCUGUGUGUUGGUUUGUAUUUGGUGAACUCGAGUUGUUGAGGGGGGUCCCUGCCUACCCUUAUAUACACGGGAGGGCAGGGUUACAAGUCUUGAGUCCUAGUCGGGUACUAUUACAAAGUUCUACUGGGUAAGGCCCGAGUAGUUUUCCAUAAACAUACUUGACUAGUCCGAGUGGGAUACGCCUAUCCCUUGUUUCGAUUGUAUCCGAGUACGCCCCUGAGUGGGCCGUCCAAGGUAUACUCGUGGGCCUGGGGUGCAUGCCCGACACCGCUGACCUAGGCAGACAAAGAUCUGAUCCAAACUCAUUGCGAGGAACUCAGGGAUCACCUUCCUGUGCACAUCAAAAGGAUCAUAGACAACAUCGAGGUCAACGCUUCUAAAAGGCCAACUCAACAACCAGUCGAAAGGAGUCACCAACUGCCUCAUCAAGUUGCUCUCGAAGAUGACAUGGCGGAAGUGGAGGAGAAGAAUGCCCGCCUUCAGAUCGAAUUAGAUCGACUCCAAAAAGAGAUUGACAUGAAUAAAGCUCAACUGAAACACCGUUGAAUCAUUGUAACCUAUAAGUGUGCUGGUACUUUUUUAUCUGAGGGCGACUUGUACCAUGUUGGCCAUGUAUCUAGUUGAUUUACCGAGUGACGAUUGGUUUAUUCAUAUAAAUCCUUUGAUCUUAAGGCGAUGUCCUUCGCAUCGUCUAUAUGAACAUGACUCAAUACGCGUCGGCCAUGAAAGCCCAAUAUGCCACAUUAUCGGUUAAGCGUCUACCCAUAUACUGGGGUAGUAUCUUUUCAAAUAUCUUCCAUUUAGAUCCCUUGUAAAUUCCUCUCCCUCGAAAGUCUCCAGUAUGUACGCGUUGCCUGGAGCACAUUGGCUAAUCCGGUACGACCUUCCCAAGUAGGCAACCAUUUUCCAUAUUUGGGAUCUUUAGCUCCUAUCGGCAGGAUCAACUUACAGACUAAAUCCCCUUGGGAAAAAUUGCUUGACCUUGACCUUCUUGUCAUACCAUAUGGCAACUCUUUUCUUAUUUUCCUCAAUACUAAUCAAGGCCCUUAGCCGCUGACUCGCCAAAUUCUCCAACUCUCCCCUCAUGAGACGGGAAUAGUCAUCGACCGACAACUGAUCCUGAAGCGACAUACGCCUAGACCCAUUCUUCAACUCCCAAGGCAAUACUGCUUCAUGCCCAUAUACUAACUGAUAAGGGGACACCUUGGUGGUACCGUGACAAGCCAUCCGAUAUGCCCACAAGGACUCACUCAGUGUUGUAUGCCACCAUCUUGGUUGUUCUUCGAUCUUCCUCUUAAUCAGCUUAAUAACCCCUUUGUUGGACGAUUCGGCCUGACCAUUGGCCUGAGCGUAAUACAGAGAAGAAUUUAACAACUUAAUCCCCAUACCGGCAGUGAACUCCUCGAACUCCCCUGAGGUAAACAUUGACCCCUGAUCAGUCAUAAUAGUCUAAGGAAUACCAAACUGAUAAAUAAUGUGCUCCUUCAGAAAUUCAAUCAUGUUGGCCGACGUCACAACUUUCAAAGGAGCCGCCUCAACCCACUUGGUGAAAUAGUUAGUAGCCACCAAUAUGAACUUAUGCCCUUUGCUCGAUGGCGGAUAGAUCUGACCGAUGAGAUCAAUUCCCCAUCCUCUAAACGGCCACGACUUUAUUAUCGGGUUCAUAGCCGAGGCCGGUGCUCAUUGCACGUUGCUAAAUUUCUAACAAUCCUGACAGCCUCUAUAAUAUUUAAAACAAUCUUCAAGUAUUGUCAACCAGUAAUACCCACUGUUUCUAAUCAUCCAUUUCAUCUUGAAGGCCGAUUGAUGGGCCCCGCAUACACCUUCAUGAAUUUCACCCAUAAAAGUUUUUGCUUCCUCUAUGCCGAGGCAUUUGAGUAAUACUCCAUCAAUCAUCUGAUAAAAUAAAUCAUCUUCAAGUAAUACAUAUUUUGUAGCCUGGAAGCAUAUUCGCCGAUCAACUUUCUUGGACGGAUCCUUCAAAUAGUCGGCAAUUUCUUUCCUCCAGUCGUCGGCCGCAAGUUCUAGAGCCAAAGCACCUUGAAUCGGCUGGUAACCAGAAGCGUGCUGGGCAAGUCUAUUGGCUUCCUCGUUGUAAUCUCUAGGGAUAUGUUCGAUGACUACAUUAUUGAAUUCUUUGAGUAACUGGAGGCAUUCCUCAUAAUAAAUCCUCAGAAUAUCAUCUUUGUACUCACAUUUUCCAGUCAACUGAUCUCCGAUAAGCAUGGAAUCCCCAAAUAUUUUCACCGCAUCAGCCUUGACCUCCCUCAACAGUUGGAUGCCCUUUAAGACAGCCCGAUACUCUGCUUGAUUAUUAGUGGCGGAAGCCUCAAUCGGCAGAGAGAAAUCAUAACUUGCCCCCCAAGGCGAUACGAGGAUGAUGCCGAAUCCUGAUCCAACCUUACAUGAAGAUCCAUCAAAGUAUAAAGUCCACAGAGCUGGUUCGACAACAGUAAUUUCUGGUCCACAGUGUUGGGCUACGAAAUCAGCCAUCACUUGACCCUUGACAGCCUUGGCCGAUUCGUACCUCAAAUCGAAUUCCGAGAGGGUCAGGAUCCACUUUCCAAUUCUACCCUUCAAAAUCAGCAGUGAUAACAUAUACUUGAUGACAUCAUCUUUACACACGACUACACGUUCCGCCGACAACAGGUAGUGCCUGAGUUUAGUGCAGGAGAAAUAUAGGCAAAGGCAUAACCUCUCCACUGGAGAAUACCUGGUUUCAGCAACUAAGAGUCUCCUGCUGACGUAAUAAAUUACCCUUUCUCUUCCUUCAAACUCCUGGACCAGCACCGAGCCGAUAGCCCGUUCAUCAGCCGAUAGAUAUAAUCUGAAAGGCUUAUCAGCCUGAAGAGGAACCAACACGGGAGGGGACAUCAGAUAUUGUUUGAUGUCAUCUAACACUUUUUGUUGUUCUUCGCCCCAAACAAAUUCUUGGUUGGGCUUCAACUUCAACAAUGGGCUGAAAGCUUGAAUGCGUCCAGACAGGUUUGAUAUGAAUCUCCGGAUGAAGUUGAUCUUGCCGAUUGAGGACUGCAACUCAAUCUUGUCUUGUGGGACCACAACUUUGUUGAUGGCGGUUAUGAUCUUCUGGUUGAUCUCGAUGCCGCGCUCGUGAACCAUAAAACCCAGAAACUGACCAACUGAAACACCAAAAGCACACUUUUUCGGAUUCAUUUUCAACCCAUGCUUCCUCGUGCACUCCAGCACUUUACACAAAUCGGCCAAAUGCUGUCGAUGUCCCUUUGACUUGACAACUACAUCAUCGAUGUAAAUUUCUACCAGAACACCGAUAAUCAUGUGGAAUAUAUAAUUCAUGGCCCUCUGAUAUGUAGCUCUAGCAUUUUUCAAACCGAAAGUCAUGACUACCCAUUCGAACAAAUCGAGAUGACCAGGACACCUGAAGGCCGUUUUGGAGAUAUCUUCUUCGGCCAUUAAUACUUGAUUAUAUCCGGCGUUACCAUCCAUAAAGCUGAUGACCUUGUGUCCCGCGGCAGCAUCUAUCAAAACGUCGGCCGUUGGCAUCGGGUAUCCAUCCAUCGACGUAGCUUGGUUAAGAUUUCUGAAAUCAAUGCAAACACAUAGUUUUCCAUUUUUCUUGUACACAGGAACAAUAUUAGAAAUCCAAUCAGCAUAUCGACAUUGCCGAAUGAACCCCGCUUGAAUCAAUCUUGUGAUUUUGGCCUUUAUAUCAGGUAGAAUUUUCGGAUUACAACGUCGCGCGGGUUGCUGAUAUAGCCGAUACCCUAGUUUUAUGGGCAACCAAUGUUCGACAAUCGACCAGUCUAGACCAGGCAUUUCAUGAUACUCCCAAGCAAAGCAAUCUUUAAACUCCCUUAACAAAUCUACUAACUCACGCUUAUACUCAGGGUCCAAUUUAGCACUAAUAUACGUCGGCCUUGGCUUGCUACCAUCUCCAAGGUCUACCAUCUCUAACGAAUCGGCCGACAUGAACCCAUGCCCAAGCUUUCCAUCUUCUCGAACAAACUCAUCCAUUAAGACUAUUCUUCGGAGCCAACUACUUGGAUCAGUUGUAGACCGAAAUCGGACCUUCAAGAAGUCGGUGUCCCAGGUCCUACCAGAUAUGCAUCUGACGUGUUCGUAACUCCAUUGCUGCGCGUCGGCUGUGGCAAUGCUGUAAGAGGAAUCGGCAGUGACCACUUCAAUCGUGUCGUCGAUCCACUGGAUGAGGCACUGGUGCAUUGUAGAUGGCAUGCAGCAAUUUGCGUGGAUCCAGUCUCGUCCAAGCAGCAUAUUAUAGGACCCUUUACCGUUAAUGACAAAGAAAGUGGUAGGUAGGGUCUUACUGUCGAUGGUGAGGUUGACACAGAGUGCUCCCCAGGCUGGUGAUAUGUUUCCUUCGAAGUCUUUAAGCAUCAUUUCCGUCUUGAUCAAGUCUUCUUCUCAUUUGCCAAGUUUGCGGAACAUGGCGUAUGGCAUGAUGUUCACGGCUGCGCUCCAUCUACCAAUAGCUUGGUGAUUGGCUUUCCGUUGACCUGCCCCUUGAGGAACAGAGCCUUGAGGUGCUGGCGUUUUUCAUCUUCGGGUUUUUCAAAAGUGGCAGUCAUUGGCUCCAAAGCCAAUUGUGCCAUCCAAUCUUCUGCCUCUGUUGCGCUAUCGCAGUCAGCGGGAACCAUGAACUCUAUUGGUAAGAUGAACACCAUGUUAACGUCGGCAAACGGCCCUUGAUCAUUGUUUCCCUCGUCGGCUUUUCUUCUGGGGCGCCAAACUUGAGUCUUGACUCCUUUUUUGUCCAACGCUUGCCUCUGUUCUUCCUCUUGUUGUUCCCAUUGGCGUAAAUGUUGGACCCUUCUCUUCUGGGACUUGGUCAAACCAUCUGGGCACCAUUUGGGGUUCACUGGUUUGCCUGGCGGUUUCGUACAUUCCCAGUCCGUCUCUUGGCCCAACGGAUUUUCAUCGGGGACUCUUGAAUCGGCUAUCUCUCCCAGCUGAUUAUACGCGCUAGCUCUGCUCCCCAGCUGAUUACGCUCGUGUACUCUGCCUCCCAACCAAUCACACACUGAAACACGUCUGUCAUCUCGUUUGAGCCAGUUUCUACUGAUCGAUUUCUGCCCUCGAUCUCCGGAGCGUGACCUCUUGAAUGGGCGGCUGUUGCGGCAUUGGCCGUUGCACUCAGGACAGUUAUCGGCCGACGGCAAUCUGAGAUUAUUCUCCCAACAGUGGAUGAAGAACGGACAUCUCCAAUGGUCUUCGUGCCGGCGCAUCAUCUCUUCUCUGCGCCUCGUGUCUUCCUGUUGCCUUUGGUACUCGUUGAGUAGAUCCCGAGACGUGAUAGGCCGAUGGGACCUUUCCAGGUUCUCAUCCUCUAUUUCUGUUUGGCCUUUUCCUUUAACAUCACCGGUCGAGACUUGAUUCCUAGGGUCCACAGCCCUACUCCUUCUGGUCGAUUCUGAUGUUAGCACCUUGGUUUGGAGUGCAUUCAUUCCGCCGAAGUCGACCAUGUUGGCUGGGAAGUGAUGCUGGUCGAUCUUCAUUGGCUUUGCUGGCUUUGUGGGAACCUCGAAUUUAAGUCUCCCUUGCUCAAAGGCCGACUGUAUCUAUUGAUGGAAGACUUUGCACUCAUUGGUGUCGUGAGAUGUGGCAUUGUGCCACUUGCAGUACUUCAUCUUGUUAAGCUGUUUGGCCAAUGGGAUUGUGUGGUAGGGUGAGAGCUUCAUCUGUCCUUCUUGUAGCAGUAAGUCAAAGAUUUUAUCGGCCUUAGAUGUAUCGAAGCUAAACGUUUCCGGUUCCUUUUUUCCAAAUGGGCAUGAGAUUGGCUUUUUGCCUUUGACCCAUUCUGCCAAGCCGAUUUCCACCUCCUCUUCUGAAUCGGACACUCCCACGUAUGCCUCCUUUUUCUGGAAGUUUCUUCGUUAGUCAAAGGGGCGCACCUCCUGGCUGGACAGCCGGUGUACUAUCUGGCUUAGACUCUCGAACUCCUUGGAAGCAUAUUUUUCUUUGAUGUGCGGUAGGAGCCCUUGAAAAGCGGUAUCGGCCAGCUGACCAUCAGUCAAAAUUAGACUUUAGCAUUUGUUCCUGACCUCUCUGAACCUCUGUAUAUAGCUGGCCACCGACUCGUUGCUUCUUUGCUUGAGGCUAGUUAGGUCUAAUAGCUUCAUCUCGUGGAACCUCGCAAAGAAGUACUUGUGCAAUUGUUUCUCCAAAUCAGCCCAAGUGACGAUGGAGUUAGGCGGUAGCGUCGUAAACCAUUGAAAGGCUAACCCAGACAGAGACGAUGAGAACAACCGCACCCUCGGAGCAUCCUGUGCAGCAGCUUCUCCGCCUAGAUGAUCUGUUGACGUGCUCGACCGUGGAUGUGUCAUCUUAACCCGAGAAUUUAGUGAAGUCGGGCACCUUGUAUCGAUGAGGAAACGGCAAAAGGUUGUAGGCGGGUGGGUACGGCAUCCUAUAUGUGUAGGUCUGCACCUUUAGCUUUAGUUCGAACUGGUCUUGUAUUAUAUCAGCUAUUCUUGCGGUCCAAUCCACCUGCUGCUGCUGCUGAUGUGCGAUCGGCUGAGCCAUCGGCAUAUGUUGUUGAACUUGCGGCACCGUGAUUGGGUUGAAGAUUGGAGUGUGCUGUAGAACUUACAGCUGGACUGUCGACUGAGGAGCCGAUGGUUGCUGACGAGUAGGAUCAACAUGUCGUAGUGCAUCUGCUGCCUCGUCGUACAAUACCAUUGGCGCUGCAGUUCUGAGACGAUCCUGGAUGCCUGCCCCUCUGCCAAUUUCUAGAGAAGUCUGUUGGCAUUGCGGAGCUGUCGGCUGGGGCACCAAUGGAAAUGAUAUCUGAACCGGAGAUCUUGGAAUGUAUGCUCCUAGAGGUACUCCGUAGCUAGUGGAUGGAUCCAGGCCGGCAGGUGUUCCUACCAUUCCCCACUGCGCCGAUGUUGUUAACGGCGGUUACACAGGAGGGACAGGUGUAGGCUGAAACGGUACUUGUGAUUGAGAAGGCGGUGCACCUCUAUAACCUGGGGGCAAUGUGGUGUUGUACCCCUCCUCCCCCGUUCUGCAUCUUCAUCGGCUGAGGAGCCGACUGGAACAUGCUAGGUGCCGCCGAGAAGCUUCUGACCGGUGUGCUGAUAGGAGGGGUGUAAGUUGGCCCCUGAUACCCUUGUGCUACACCAUUGGCCAUGGAGCUGAUGACGGCGUUGUACAUUGUGUGAGCUAUAACCUUGGAGUGAUCAAUCAUAGCCUGAUAAACAGACUGAUGGAUCAUCUCGGACAUUUUUCCCGAGCCUUCGGCAAUGGUGAUUUGGCGAGUAGUCAGGAGAGCGGUCUUCUUGACGGGUUCCCCACUCCUGGUGCGACUGUAGGAUUGCAGGCAUGCCUUCUUGAAUUCUUCCAUAGCCUUUGCCAUCUUAUCCCUCUAAUCGUCCUUGAGAUCAGCCUUAGUGACUUCAAUGACGUUAUCUUUCGAGAUUUCAACAGCCUUUGACAUGCUGGGUCCUCUUUUGGUCCCACCGGGCGUGCUAAAAGUGUGUUGAUGCAAAAAAAUCGGACAGUGGUCCUGACUCCUACGUCGGACACACGACCCGGGAGAAUCUGCUUAGCUCCUAUUCGGGUUAUUGCCCUGGUGCGAUUUGCGCGGCGUGCCAGUCAAUCUAACCUGUUGAUUGACAGGGAAGAAAAGAUAUCAAAUUCCAGAGAUUCGAUCAGCUGAAAGUUCCGAUCUAUUCCAAAAGAUGUAUCAGCAGAUUGGCCGAUUUAGUGUAAAGAUGACCGGCUAUGAAACAGCCGAUAAUCACGUGGCAAUUGUAAAAGAAACUACUGUUGUAAUCCUAAACAAUGCUAUAGAUACAACACUUGGAACAGAUCUAAUCAGCUGUAUGAUGAUAAACAAGAUAUUGAUAUAGCCGACAGUUCGUGCCUCAAGCUAGAUAACUGGUGAUAAAAACUAAAAUAACAGGUAAAACCUAUAAUUCUAGUAGAUAUCGAUAACUAGUGAAUAAAUCUAAAUGAAACAACAGCGAUGCGCCCGAAGUUAAAGCUUAGAUAUUACUUGAUACGCGGAACUUACAAAUUAGCUGGAGGUCGUGUUGAUGCAGUCCUGCCAACUCACACGAACUCGUGAAAAGAAAAGGAUUUGGCGAAGUCGCUGACUUAAAAUUAAAGUUGCGUGAAAGAGUAGAUUUGUAUUGAUAAUUAUUAGGUUGUUUUACAAACCUUACGAAGCACCUAUUUAUACCCUGUUACAACUGAUUUCCUAACGGACUAUGAUUUUAUCUCUAAUUCAAAAUAACAAUUUUUUACAUAUGAACACAACUCGUAUCGGAGUCGAACACUAAUCAAUCUUCUAUGGGCCAACUAUGUCUUCAUCUUGUUACUGCCUUGGCCCAUUUAAGCCCAUGUCGGCCGAGCUACUCUGGCUUCCGAUCGACCCAUCUCCAUUGACUUCAUCGGCUAAUCGACCGAAACACUGUAGUUUUAUCGGCCGAUUUCCCUAGCCACAUCCUCCUAUUUAACUGCACCGGCCAUUUUCUUCUUUUCUUGACACCGACCCUAACACGUGUUAAAAUCCGAUGUGGGCACGCACACAAGCACGCUGACGAACAGGCCAGCCACCUCGGCGGCACCAUUCGAUGGGUACCGACCCACCCACCAGCCGGCUCCAUCCUAUCCAUGCUGCCGACACACCGGUGUAAUCAUCGAUCCAAGGCGACCUGCUAGCGGCGCAAGUACACUCGCCGUGUUCCGAACCGAGCAGCCAUUCGUGCAAAAAUCGCGCGGAAACAGCACUCGGCACUGGACUCGCAAGUACUAUGAUGGCCACGGGGAUUGGGAAAGGUGGCCGCUGGCGCCACCGUGGCGUGCGGUCGUGUGGAGGCCGAGGCCGCUACGUGCCCGCCUCCUCCUCACAAAGCCCUAGGCCCCCCCGCGACCUCCCCUCCCCCCGUGCCGUCCCUCUCGCUGCCCCCGCCUCCUCCUAUCCCCUCCGUCCUCAUACACACACACGAGCUGAGGCGCUGAGCCUGAGCGCGCGCGCGCGCCCGAGCCGAGCGAUGAUGCGUUGCAUGGCUCCGCCACACACUACCCGUGCCCGUACCCACCCAACGCUGCAUAAGUAUCUCCGCCGGUUCCUCCUCGUGCCUGCUUUGCACCAUACACCUACACGCCGCCGCUGAUACUACGCUCUAUAGCUCUUCUCGGUGCAGACCUCGAUCGAUUGGCCGGCCAUCGCUACCACCUCCGAGCACGCGCGGCCCCCGCGCCGGUGUCGUCCCGCUUUCCGUCACGACCAUCGUGUCGUGCUGCAAGGCCUGCAGUGCGCGACCGUGAGGAUAUAUCAGCCACGCGAUCGCGGGGGAGAUGAACCAGUGCGUGCCGAGUUGGGAUCUGGACGACCCGGCGGUGGUAGCCGGCGGGGGCGGCGGCGGUCUUAACCAUCCGGUGCCCGCGGCCGGCGGCGCGCACCGGGUGGUGGUGUCGGCUGCUGGGACCACCGGUGGCGCGUUCGCGCCCGUCGUCGUGCCCAUGUCGGACAAGUACUACGAGGUGGCGGAGCUGACGUGGGAGAAGGGCAACAUCUCCUCGCACGGGCUGCUCAACCGGCCGGCGCCCAGCAAGUACCCUCCCGCCGCGCCGUCGCAUCUGCAAGGCAUAGGUGGAGGCGCCGGCGCCGACGGGGUGGCUGGGGACCGCGAGACGCUCGAGGCGGUGGUCGGCGAGGCGGCCGCGCGGUCGCACUUCCUCUCGCAGCCGCCGGCGGUGCACCACCACGCGCCCUGGCUCGGGGCGGCGGGCGGCGCCGUGGCGCGGACGGGCGCGGACGCGCUAGUGCCGUGCGCCGCGAGGGUGGUGGACGAGGCGGCGGAGGGGGGCGACGCCGCCGACGCGUCGAGGAGAAAGCGGGCACGGGUGGUUGGAGAGGACGGGCUGGUGUGCGCCAGCCAGGGGAGCGCCGCGCCCGGCCGCCGCGGCGAGAGCGCGCUGCUCACGCUGGACGGCGGCUGCGGCACCGGGGCCGACGACCUGUGCGGGUUCACGACAACCACCAACAACUCCACAUCCCUGGACAGGGACGACAAGGGCUCCCCGGACACGGAGAACACCAGCAUCGGCGGGGGCGCCAGCGACUCUCGCUGCUUCAGCCGUCGGUCACAGGCAAGCAGCUACCCGUUCCUGAUGAAUGAUGAUCAACUAUAUAUAUACAUGUGCAGCUCACAUUUAUUAAAUAUACACAUGUCUCCAGUUAGCUUAGCUAGUUACAUGCAUGCAGAGUUUGUGUUCUACUGAUUGAUUUAUUUGCAGAUUAUUCCAUAAGCUUAUCUUUGUAUGAAUCCAUCAUGCAUGCAUGUCUCUGCUGGCGAAACGAAAAAAAAA
rnacentral:lncRNA from 1 species